rnacentral:lncRNA from 1 species
AAGAUUGACUGAAUCUUGGGUUACUGUGUCUCUGGUCUCAAAUGAAACACAAGUGGGAAGCCUUGCUGCAGUUUCAGCUUUGGUUUGUGUUUGAAGUUUUGAAUGUAAAAAAAGAACCGAGCAUGUGGUUGCCGACAAGAAUGGCCUGAGGUUUCUUAAGCUUCAAUGUAAUGUUACAACCGCUGCUAAUUUGGUGGGGUGGGAGGUCGCUGGGUCGCUGUCAGUCCUUUUGCUGCUUUUCUUUCUUUUUGUUAUUUGUUGAGUUUUUUCCAUUUCUACUUUUCUUAAUAUAUAAAUUAUCAUUUUUUUUAAUAUGCAAAAUAUAUAGAACAUUUUAUGAGUUUAUAAAUAAAAAUUAUAUUAUGGGAUAAUAGUGUAUGAGUUCCUGGUGCUUUGGAGUUCUUUAAAUUAAGGGCCCAGUUUGUCCAUUUGUUUCAGUUAGGUCCUUAUUAAAAAUUAAUUUUAAUAUUGAUUUUCUUAAUUAUAACUAAUACUAAUGAUAUUUCAUAGUUAUAAAUAUAUUAGAAUUAAUCCAAAAUUUUUUUUUAGUGUGGCAUGGUUAAAACUACCUUUUUCUAUAAGUAAUCACUACUUUUGCAUUAAGAAAAAUACUCCUACUUUUAGAAAAAAAUCAAGUACCUAUAGUUGUGAGGACUCGAGCUCACUCGAUGAUAAAUCUUCAUAUUAAUUAUGAAAAUAUCCUCUAAAUUUUAGCUUAACUAUUCGAAAUUCAAUGUUAUUUCGUUUAUUUGAGUGGGGGUUAGGGGUCAAUUUGAUACAAAUUCAAAAUUAUCCUCAUUUGCGAAGGUGAUAAAAGUUAGGGAUUUAGUUUGGAUGUCAGUAGCCACAAAUACUAAUCGCAUGCAUCUAAUUCAAAAUUAGAGGCAUUAUCGUUAUAUUGACAUGUGUCACCAUCCCACAACCUCUCCAAUGAAAAAUUGACAUUCAUCUUGUGUGCUUCUUGUCAAAAUCCUGAAAAUUAAUCACAAAAGUUAUAUUUUUAUUAUAAAAAGAAGAAAGAAACUCCAUAAGUGAAGAAAAAAAAAAAAGACUUACAUAAAUAGUUUGGAUAAUCUAGAUUUCAAGUUGUCUAUAGUAGCUUGAUAUUUUUAUAAAUAUCAAGAUUUCAAGUUGUCUAUAGUAGCUUGAUAUCUUCUAAAAAACACUCCAUCAACAUAUAUUUUAAUUUUACGUUAAUUAAUAAAUAGAAAAUCCAUUUUAGAAUUAAUUAAAACAUUAUUUAUUGUUGCCAAAGAAGGAAGUAUUUAGCGAUAAGAAAAAAGUGUCUCAAAUAUAUGUUUAAAAAAAGAAUCAUGGUUGGUUGGACUGAUUGAAUUUUUAUUUUCUUUUUCCUUUUUAAGAACUAAAAGACAAUUGGAUUGAUUGAGUAAUAAUAAAAUAUAUUUAUUUGGCAAAUGGCAGGUAGACUUUCUUCUGGUGCAGAUUGAUUAGAGAGAAUAUAUAACAAUUUUAAGCUCGUCAGAUUCGGAACCAGCUUAUCUGUCGUGUGGAGAUCACUUCCGUGUCUUAUUUUUCUAGAAAAAUCUGGACCAUUUGAUUUACCAUUAGGCAGUAGAGAAAUGUUGAUCUUGAUUCCUGAUCGGGAUCGAAGUUUGAUUCUAUCUAACAUGAUAUCAGAUUGCGAAGCAAGCUAGUUGCGAGUAACUUGUUCUAUUUUGAAGGAAGAAACACAAGUUCUAAUAAAAAAUUCUAAGUGUACAUUUUUUUUUAAAUAUUUUGUUAACAAUGAUAUGAAAAUAUUCGAACCCCUCCUCAUAUAGUAAAGUGAAUUACCAUCCAACGAUCCAACUAAUGUCUUCAAAUUGUAAAUUGCAAAUCGUGUGUUUGCUCCAUUACAGAGUUUCUUCAAUUUAAAAUAGAGAAUCGUUUGUGUUCUAGAUUAAUCGUGGGUCUAUAUCCAAAUCUAAAAAUUGACUAACUUGAUUUCUAUUAAAUUCUUAACCCUAACAAGAAAAAUAGAAGAUUAAAAAUGACUAAUUUGGUUUCUAUUAAUUUGAGUAACAAUUAAUAUUUAUCAUUCAAUAGUCACUUAUAUUAUCAAAAUCUUGGGUCGAAAAUAUUAGGAUAGGUACCAAUGAGCCUUUGGUCCAGUGGGAGAACCAUUGCACUUACAAUAAUGAGUGCAAAGGUUCGAGCCUCCAUAAAAGUAUUUAUGGGGCUUAUUUACAAUCCUCCCUCAAUUAUCAAAUAAUUGAGUAGAGCUAUUCUAUUCCUCACGAAAUGUGAGUAGAGUUGACAACUCUCGAAUAUUUGAGAGGGUUUGAAGAAUUUGAGCAGCGCGUCAGAGGAGUACAUGCCACGAGGAAGGUCCCAAUUGUAAAAUAUGUUUGUAAAUAUUAAUUGUAAUACCUACAGUCCUGUUUAACAGUAUUAAAAAAAAAAAUUAGGAUAGGUGAUAAAUGGAAUUAAGUUGUAGAUUAAGAUAGAAAUGGAUUUGGAGAGAGAUUGGAAUCCUGGGUAAUCCGGUACACGUUGGUGUGUUAAAUUCUCGUUGACUUCACGUUGACCGAGGCAUUAUUGGAAGAAACAAGCAAGCUUAUUUUCUUCUCUCAUUUUUAACCUGGCAAAUGCUAAGUUACAAUAAUUGUAACAUACAUCCCUCAUGUGAACCACACAAAUUGUGGGUCCUACAAUUUUGUGUGGUUCACAUGAGGAAUGUAUGUUACAAUUAUUGUAACUUAGAGGCUCCCUUUUAACCGUUGUCUAAAUUUAUUGAUGCGAGGCCUUUGAGAUGGUAAAGUGUUAAAUCUGAGAAGAGUACCCACACUAUUACUCUUAUUUUAUCACACUAUUACUCUUAUAGUCAAUGUUUGAUUCGCACGGAAAAAAAUUUGCGAGGAUUGUGAGGGUUGAUGCAAUAUAAUUUAGAUGCAAAGUGUUUACAAGUGCGAUGCUUCGUAAGUGUACUCGAAUCGUUAUAAACUCACGUUAUUUUCAUAGUGAUUAUUUCAUUUGCACGUGAAUAUAAUCAUAUAUGUGGAGAUUUUUUUUUUCCUAAAUUAUGGUAUUAUUUAGGAUUGAGAUGUUAUAUCUUUUAAACUAUAAUUAAUAUUAGUAAAAAACUGCAACUAUAAAAUAAAAGUUAAUAUUAUGUCCUGAAUAUAAUUGUUAAAUAAUAAUUUUGACAAAAUUAGUGAAGAUAUACAGAUUUUUUUAUCAUAUAAGUGUAAAAUUAUAUCAACUUAGCUUUUAAGUUAUACAGCAUCUACUGUUUACCAAAUACUUUAGUGUUGUAACUUUUAAGUUAUAACUGUCUAACCUUUAACCUCAAUCUCAAACGAGGCUUAUAAAGAUCAAGGAUUUCCUCAUAAAAAUUAUUACGUCAUGUGAUUGCUUAUUUAAUUUAUAUUUUCGUCAUUUAUCUUUAUUAAUUAAACAUGCACAUAUUAUUUCCUUUUAUUUUCUGCUUGGUAACCCGUAAAUACUAAUCCAGUACUACUAAUUUCAGACAGAAAAUUUUGAACUCUAGGCUGCAGUUUGACUCAAAAUGAUGGUCACUGGCUUCGCACCAUUUUACCGGUAUACAUUUCUACAAACUGAACAAGGCUAUUGAUUAUUAUUAUUAUUAUUUUAAUUUGUUUAUAAAUUACUAUUUUAAUUUUCACUUUUUAUUGGGUUGUUUAACGGAUUGGUGAAGCUGGUGGUCGUUGAUGCACUCACAAGGUACAAUUUUAUUUUAUAAUUUCAAAUUCGUAUUUUAAAACGCAGGUACAUUAUGUAUAUACAUAAUUAUUGAUUUUCGUAUGAGGGUGUUUUGAAAUAUUGCUAAAAGACCAAACUUUAAUAAACUAUUUUUGAUCUUUUUUUUUUUCCUAAAGUUUGGGUGAUAUGCGCAUUUUAAAUUCACGUGGAACAAAAGUUAAUGUAUGUAUAAAAAUUCUUUUAUUUUUCUGAGCAAAAUAGGCAAGCGAAAAAGUUUUGGCAAAUGAGUUGCAACUGAAUUCAAAACCAAUACAAUGCGAGCAUAGGAAAGAGGCCAGUGUUUAGGAUUUGAAUUUAGUAUUAAGCUGAAUUUUAUGGUAAGCUCUUUUAUAGUACUGUGAUUGAUAAGCUCAGCCCCGGAUUUGCUUUUGCUUUUGCUUUUACUUCAAGUGAAAGAGAGAGGAAACCUUUUGUUUUUAAUGUUACUGUGAUUGAUAAUCAUAAUAAUUCUCAGGGAAUCUAAUGUUAUAACUUAUAAGAUGAUCUCCUAUGAUGAAUAACAGUAACACAUUACUGUGAUUGAGAAAACUCAGUUACAAUAAACUCUUCAUUUAUUCAUUGCGGAGAUUGAAUAGCAAACAGAGAAUAGAAUGAAGCAGAGGAAUCUCAUUGCCAAUAAAAUUGACCCUCUUUAAUGUUAUAUGGCACAGGUGUGGAGGAAGAACAAGUUACUUGCAGUUUUUAUUGUAAAAUAUACAGGUAUGACCAUGAUCAUUACAGUUAGGUUUUGAUGAUUUCGGAUGCUUUUAAAAAAAAAAAAUUGUGACAUCUUUGAUUUAAGAUAGUUUUGCAGAAAAAAAAUAUAUAACUGACGAUUACAAUCAUUACAGCAAUGCUGAUGAGUGAUACAUCACUUGAAAUUUACUUGUCAGUUGCUGAAAUGAUGUAAAAAAACAAUAAACGAUAACAGUAAUAAUGUUCCCUUGCUGAAAUUCAAUUUUGACUUUCGACUCUUGGCUUUUAUGGAAAGUAAAAUGACUUGUACAUUAUACUCAUACAAUCCACUCUACAUAAUGACAUCAUUUUAAUAAGGCAAUGGCUGAUGAUCUCCAUUGAAAAACUACUUCAAUUUUUUUGCUUCAUUUAACUUUUUGGUUGUUGAAAAUAACCUUAGUUAUCAAAUAUUUGGAGAAAGAGAAAGGGUGCUUGCAGAAGUGGCAAUAUAUAUAUAUAUAUAUAUAUAAAAGGAGAAGUUGAAGAGAAAGGGUGCUUGCGGUUAUUUUUUGGCAAUAUAAAAUUUUUUUAGCAAAUAAAAAUUAAUUUUUUUUUCCGAUUUACUAAAAAAUUAAUUAAAAACUUAUGCGAUGGCAUUUUUUACGGGUGCAUAUACUCUCCCUUUAAAAGAAAAAAUAAUAAUCAAUACUUAAUAUAAUAUUAAAUACGAAAAUAUCAAUAUUUGACUACUCAAAUUUAUAUCAAUAGGUCCUUAAAAUUUGAAAUUGAAGAUACAAGAGGAAAUAUAUAUAAAUUUAAUUCUCAUAGAAAAGGAUCCUCUUAUAAUCUUAUAUAUUUGAGCUUUGAAAGAUUUUUUGAAACAAAUGUACUUUUAUUUGUGUACAAUCAAUAGUUACUUAUUUAUUAUAUAUUUAUUUACUAAAUAUCAAUCAUGUUAAUAUAUUUAGUCAGAAAAAUCAUAUCAAGAGAAAAUCAUGACUCUGCGCACAGAUAAAUACGUUAAUUUCUAUACUAUUCACUUAGCUGUGUAAUCAAUUAUCUGAAAUGCAAGUUUGUGGCUACAGAAAACUCACCAAAGAAAGAAGAUAAUAACAAUUGAGCAUUGAUAGCAAAACUAAUGCAUCCAAUUCUUCUUGACUUGAUGAGAUGACGCCAUGAUGUAAAAACAAGUACCUAAAUUGACCGGCACUGAGUGAUGUGAAUACUACCAGCCGGUUCAUCUCUUCCAGUCUCGCUUAGUUACAAUCACAAACACCACGAGAUUGACAUUUGCAUUAUAUAUAUCUUCAGCAGUCGAAACACCUUGCAUUACCAAAUUAACCAGUAACAAACAUAGCAAUCUUUCAUGGAGAGAAACCUUAGUCUCAGUAUGAUCACUGUGUCAUUAACCCACUGCCUGCUUCUUUGCUUGGUUGUUGCAGCAGCAGCAGCAGCAAGCAGCAAUAUUACCACAGACCAACAAGCUCUUCUUGCCCUGAAAGAUCAUAUAAUUUAUGAUCCGACCAACCUUUUAGCCAAUAAUUGGACCUCGAAUAACUCUGUUUGUACCUGGAUUGGCAUCACUUGUGAUGUCAAUAGCCACAGAGUCACAGCCUUAGAUAUUUCUCAAUUCAAUCUACAAGGCACCAUCCCUCCUCAACUUGGAAACCUCUCUUCACUCACAACACUAAAUCUUAGUCAUAACAAGCUUUCUGGAAGCGUUCCCUCCCCCAUCUACACCAUGCAUACGCUAAAAUUUCUUGACUUCACCGAUAACCAGCUCUCUGGUUCAGUGUCUUCCUUCGUCUUCAACAUGUCUUCAAUAGUAGAAAUUCGUUUGACCAAUAACAGAUUUUCUGGUGUGCUUCCGAAAAAUAUUUGCAACUAUCUUCCUUAUUUGAAAGCCCUUUUCUUAAACAAAAACAUGUUUCAUGGCAAAAUUCCUUCUGCUUUAUCAAAGUGCAAAACUCUGCAAAUAUUAUUGUUACACUUCAAUAAUUUAUCCGGUGCAAUACCAAAAGAAAUCGGCAACUUGACUAUGCUCAAAGGCAUAUAUCUCGAAUACAACAAACUCCACGGUAUGUUCAUAAUACUAUGUAAAUGUUUUAAUUUCUCACUUGUUAUUUUUCUUGAAUACUUUAGAUAAGAUCUAGUAAGUGAGAUUUUUUGGAUCUGUGUUAAUUUGCCAGGUGAGAUACCCCACGAAAUCGCUAAUCUUCCAAAUCUAGAGGCUUUAGUGCUUGGAAUGAACAACCUAGUUGGUGUGUUACCAGCUCCAAUCUUCAACAUGUCAACACUGAAGGUACUUAUCCUCAUAAAUAACUCUCUCUCCGGAAGUCUCCCAUCAAGAAUAGACCUUUCACUUCCAACUAUGGAGCAUCUUAACUUGGCACUUAAUAGAUUUUCUGGAACCAUUCCUAGUUCCAUCACCAAUGCUUCUAAGCUCACCUUUAUAGAGUUGAGAGGAAACACAUUUUCGGGGUUUAUUCCAGACACAAUUGGUAAUUUAAGAAACCUUGAGUGGCUCAACUUGGCUAAUAACUCCUUGACAUCUUCAACCUCAAAAUUGAGCUUUCUUUCCUCUUUGGCAAAUUGCAAGAAAUUAAGAGUCAUAGGCUUAACAGGCAAUCCACUUGACGGCUUCCUUCCAAGUUCAAUAGGUAAUCUUUCUGUGUCUUUGGAAAUACUUUUCAUCGCCAAUUGCAGUAUUAGUGGCAACAUUCCUCAAUCAAUUAGCAAUUUAAGCAACUUGAUGAUCUUAGCAUUAGAAGGAAAUAAAUUGACUGGACCAAUUCCAAUUACAUUCGGCCGACUGCAGAAACUCCAAGGCUUACAUCUUCAAAUCAAUAAGUUGGUAGGUUCAUUCCCAGAUGAGCUUUGCCAUCUAGGUAGGCUGGCUGAAUUGGCCUUAUUGGACAAUAGGCUUUCAGGAUCUAUACCUUCUUGUGUAAGUAAUCUCACUUCUCUAAGAUCUCUCUAUUUAGGGUCCAAUAAGUUUACUUCUGUUAUUCCCUCAACCUUCUGGAGGCUAAAAGACAUCUUGUUCUUUGACUUUUCAUCAAAUUUCUUGGUUGGUCCUCUUUCUUUAGAUAUAGGAAAUUUGAAGGUGCUUCUAGGAAUAAGUUUAUCAAAAAAUAAUUUAUCCGGUGAUAUCCCAGCCACAAUUGGAGGACUGAAAGAUCUUCAAUUUAUGGACCUAGCAUAUAAUAGAUUGGAAGACCCAAUUCCCAAAUCAUUUGGUGACUUGACAAGUUUGGAGUUUUUGAAUCUGUCAAAUAAUAAAAUCUCUGGGUCUAUUCCAACAUCCAUGGAGAAACUCUUUUACCUCCGAGAGUUAAAUCUCUCUUUCAAUAAACUAGAAGGUGAGAUUCCUAGUGGAGGAAUUUUUGCCAACUUCACAGCUGAGUCAUUUAUGGGAAAUGAGUUAUUGUGUGGUUUACCAAAUCUUCAAGUCCAACCAUGCAAAAUUAGCAAGCCGAGGACAGAACAUAAAUCAAGGAAAAAGAUACUGCUCAUUGUGAUUGUUUUGCCAUUGAGUAUUGCUCUAACGAUAGCAAUCACUCUAGUUCUCAAAUAUAAGCUGAUCGAAUUUGGAAAAAGAAGCACAGUGUUAUCAAAUGAUAGUAUCUUGUCAUCACAAGCAACACUAAGAAGAUUUUCAUACUUAGAACUUUUACAAGCAACAGAUAAUUUUGCUGAAAACAACAUAAUUGGCAUAGGAGGUUUUGGUUCUGUUUAUAGAGCAAGACUUGAAGAUGGGAUGAAGAUUGCAAUAAAAGUGUUUCACCAGCAAUGUGCAAGCGCAUUGAAGAGUUUUGAGGCUGAAUGUGAAGUGUUAAAAAAUAUUCGCCAUCGAAAUCUUAUCAAAGUUAUCAGCAGUUAUUCAAACAAUGACUUCAAAGCAUUAGUCCUAGAAUACAUGUCCAACGGGAGCUUGGGGGAUUGGUUGCAUUCCAGCAAUUAUAUGCUUAAUAUAUUUCAAAGGUUGAACAUAAUGAUUGACGUUGCAUCAGCUUUAGAAUAUCUCCACUUCGAUCAUUUACCUCCUAUUAUUCAUUGUGACUUAAAGCCUAGUAAUGUAUUGUUGGACGAAAAUAUGGUUGCUCAUUUGAGUGAUUUUGGCAUUGCAAAGCUUUUAAGUGGAGAGGAUGAGUAUGUGAUGCGAACAAAAACCCUUGCCACUAUAGGUUAUAUGGCACCAGGUUUGCUUCAAACAACUUUUUUUUAGUUCAUUUUAAAUUUUCCAACUUAUUGAUUUUUACAAUCCUCACAUCAAAAUGUUAUUGAUUAUUUAUCUAAUUGUGAAAUUAAUUUGAUUCAUAGAGUAUGGCAUAGAAGGAGAAGUAUCUACAAAAAGUGAUGUGUACAGCUAUGGGAUUAUGUUAAUGGAAACUUUUACCAAGAAAAAACCCACAGAUGAAAUUUUUGUUGGAGAAUUGAGCUUAAAGCGUUGGGUUAAUGACUUGCUUCCUACUUCAUUAGUGGAAGUUGUGGACAAAACUCUGCUAAGUGGAGAGGAAAAACUUUCUGCAGCAAAGGAGCAAUGUCUGUUGUCUAUCUUUAGCUUGGCUCUGGAGUGUACAAUGGAAUCACCGGGAAAGAGGAUUAAUGCAAAAGAUAUUGUUACAGGAUUACUCAAGAUAAGAGACACAUUGAGUAAAAGGAUAGGAAACUUAAGUUAAUUUCGUUUGCUUUCAUUGAUAGUUAAUUCAAAUUCAUGUAAUAAGUGUAAGAAUCUUAUAUGCUUUCCUUAGAUUUUUUUUUGUUUGAGAAAACUGUUGUAUUCAUCUUGUUUCCAUGGGCAGAGUUGAUUUAGUUCUUCCAAGAAAUGCUACUGAUGACCUUUGUUUUAUACUUUCGCUUUUUUUUGCAUGUGUUUCGGUAGAAUAGUGGUUUGGCUCACUCAAAGAAGUCAAACUGCACUAAAAGAAUAUGAUUUAAUUUAUUAAACAAAACUUCAAGUUCAAGAAAAGUAUCUCACUGCCCCCAAUGCUUUGGACACCUAUUGGUAGGUUUGUACGUGUCCUCAACUUUUUUUUAGAGCACAAAAUUCGAGUCCCAUGGAGACUCAAACAUUCCUUUUCCGCAUCCCGAGCGUGCUAAAUUCAUCAGACUGACAAUUGGGACAUAUAGAAGAGUGAAAUGUUUGGAGCACGCUAAGUUCGAGCGAAAGAGAUUAAUUUACAGAAACUAAAGCCAAGAGAAUAAAGGACAACACUUAUGUGAAGCGACAUAAUUGUAUUGAUAGCACAAUGUCAAAUUCAUACAGAGAUCUAGUAUACUAUUUACAGCCGGUAAGGGCUAAGAAUUGAUGUAGCUAGAAUACAAAGACGAUAAGGUAUGUUGUGCACUAUUGUUUUAUUCUACGAUCAAUCUUGACCCUUGAUGCUUGGCUCUCAAUCUUGUCCAUUGAUCUUCUUUGAUUUUGUACACUUCAAGACCUUUCAGUAUCAUUCCUUGUUGUUGGUGUCUUCCGUGCUGUAGAAUUCAUAUACAAGCCUUCCCGCCGACUUGCGAAGUAUUCGUUCAUUGAUGCAUUUUAUCAAACAGCUGGGCUACUUAUACCAAACACCGCGUGGUUUAACUCCCCCUCUCUAGCUUAACUAUCUGGGAAGGCAAUUAAUUGAGAUAUGAAUUAGAAAAUUAAAUUUUAAAAAUUAUAUUCGGACUCUACAUUUUGUAAUGAACAUUGGUUUGACUUGUUAUACAUUUACGCGUACAUAAUUAAUAACCGAUUCUCAAGUGCGGACAUUCAAGAGCACUGCUUAAAGACCAAAUAUUUUGAUUUACUAUUUUUUGUCUUUCAAUUUUCUUUUACGUUCUGAUGACGUCCGCAUUUUAAAAUCCUGUGGAACAAAGGUCGAAUUGUAGAGGGUAAGCAAACAUUUAUCCGAAUUAUAUUAUGAUAAAUCCUUUUCCAAUUAGAAUUAGGAAACCAUAGAUAUACUGAUUUUUUUUGUUUAAAUGAUUUUGUGAUUUACUUGAUUGAUUGAGUGAUUGAAUAUUGUUUGAUUGCUUCAUAUCAAUUCUAGAAAGUUUAUUUCUUUGUGAAAUUUCAACGAAAUAUGUUUUUUAAAAUAAUAAAGGUGUUUUAAGUAAUUUUAAAAAAUAAAUGGACUAAUUAGAAUUAAUUAUUAAGUAAUUAACUCGAACUGUAGAGGAUAAGCAAACAUUUAUCCUAAUUAUAUUACGAUAAAUCAUUUUCCAACUAGAAUUAGGAAACCAUAGAUAUGCUGAUUUUGUUUUUUUAAUUUCUCUUUGCGAAAACGGAUUAGAGAACUAGAAAACAAUCCUAGUGAGACUAUUGUUAGGUUUAAAACACUGCAUAGAUGGUAAAAACAUGCGUGGUGAAUAUUUUGUCGCAUGCAAACUUUUUGUUUUAUGCAAAUCGUGCUGAACAUUGGGACUGAUGUUUAAGAAAAAAAUUCUGUAGUUAAAGAAAAACAAAAAAAUUCUGAUGUUUAUGCAAAAAUAGAUUACGAUAGUUUAUUCAAUUGGGAGUUUUUUUUUCUUUAAUUUUUGUUGUACUUGAUUGAGAUUUCUCCUUAGUCCUUACCGUCUUAAGUUUGGAUACCGUAGGAUUAGUAAUUUCGUACUUCCUUUGCAAGCUGAAUAUAAGGAUGAAAUUUUUUUAAGAAAUUAAAAAAAAAAGAUUAAAAAAAGGGCAUACCAGUAGGCAAUUAUAAAUUAACCACAAAUAAAUAUAAACAAAAUGUUUAUGAAGUAAAUUAAACAUGCACAUAUUAUUUUCUUUUAUUUUCUGCUUGGAAACCCAUAAAUACACUAAUCCAGUACUACUAAUUUCAGACCGAAAAAUUUGAACUCUAGGCUGCAGUUUGACUCAAAAUGAUGAUCACUGGCUUCGCACCAUUUAACCGGUAUACAUUUCUACAAACUGAACAAGGCUAUUGAUUAUUAUUAUUAUUAUUAUUUUAAUUUGUUUAUAAAUUACUAUUUUAAUUUUCACUUUUUAUUGGGUUGUUUAACGGAUUAGUGAAGUUGGUGGUCGUUGAUGCACUCACAAGGUACAAUUUUAUUUUAUAAUUUCAAAUUCGUAUUUUAAAAUGCAGGCACAUUAUGUAUACAUAAUUAUUGAUUUUCAUAUGUGGGUGUUUUGAAAUAUUGCCAAAAGACCAAACUUUAAUAAACUAUUUUUGAUCUUUUUUUUCCUUUUUAGCUAAAGUUUGAGUGAUAUCCGCAUUUUAAAUUCAUGUGGAACAAAAGCUAAUGUAUGCACAAAAUUCUUUUAUUUUUUCCGAGAAAAAUGGGUAAGAGAAGAAGAUUUUUCUCUUGAAAAAAGAAAAACCAAUACGAUGCAAGCAUAGGAAAGAGUUCAGUGUUUUGGAUUUGAAUUUAGUAUUGAGCUGAAUUUUAUGCUAAGCUCUUUUAUAGUACUGCUAAUAAUAAGCUCAGGAUUUGCUUUUGCUUUUACGUCAAGUAAAAGAAAGAGGAAACCUUUUGUUUUCUGUUUGAUUUUUGACUAUAUAUGUUACCUAUAUAGAGAGUUGAGGUAGCUGCCUUAAGUGAUGGUGAUAAAAAGAUUAAGCAACGCACACAAUCUUACUGUUGUCCAGACCAUCCAGUGAUGCUCUAGUUUUUUGGUUACAUUAGCUUUAGUGGAAAGAAGGGUCAAUUUAACAAAGACUAGAUUUGGUGGCUUACUAUAAUGCUUAUUCUCAGGGAAUCUAAUGUUAUAAGAUGAUUGAAUGAUCUUCUAUGAUUGUGUGUAGUACAAUAUAAUUGAAAGGAACCUGGGCUCCUAUGAUGAAUAACAGCAACACAUUACUAUGAUUGAGAAAACUCAGUUACAAUAAACUCUUCAUUUAUUCAUUGCUGAGAUUGAAUGGCAAACAGAGAAUAGAAUGAAGCAGAGGAAUCUCAUUGCCGGUAAAAUUGACCAUAUUUAAUGUUACUUGCAGUUUUUAUUGUAAAAUAUAUAGGUAUUGUCAAAGCCGGUGGUGGCCUAGCCAAAAUCAAAUUGGCUUUGGCAGCCGCCCAAAGAAAUAAACAAAAGAGAAAUAGAAGAAAAAGAGAUGAGGGAGAUGCCGCCUAAAGAAAUGAAGCACACGGCUUUGACUUGUUCUAAAAAAAAAAAAAGAGCCAAAAUUUUUUGCUAUAUAAAGUGGGCUUCCCACCCUCAUUUUUGCAUUCCAUUUAAGAGAGAGCAAUCUAGUAUUUUUUGAGAGAGAGUUUUGAGAGCUUGAAAUUAUAAGCUUUUGUUAUAGAAAUUUGAGAGUUUGGGUGUAUUGGGGUUUUGGGAAGUGGGCUAAAAUACUACAAUACUUGUAAUUUCUUUUUACUAAUAAAAUAUUUCCUUCUGUCUUCGCCCGUGGACGUAGGCUAAAAGCCGAACCACGUAAUUUCUAAUAUUCUCUUUUGUGAUUGUUUUUUAUUCUUCUUCCAAUUUUAUUUUAGCUGCAGUCCUGCUUCACCCACCAAUUUCCUAAUAGUGGUAUCAGAGCUAUUGGUUGUAUUUUUUGGAGUCGGGUACUAUUCACGUAAGGGUACUAUUCACAUAUAUGGUAUUGUUCACGUAUACGAUACUAUUCACGUGAAAUGGUGAGAGCGAUCCAAGAAUUUGGCGGUGCAAAAGUAGGGAAUAGUGGUGUGAGUAAAACAACUGUGUGGUUUUGUACAUGUCUAGGAAAGUUCUGUCAUAAAGACGAUAAGAGCUUAAGGAGUCUGGGUUUUAAGUGGGACCAUUGUGACCCCUCCAGUCUUUCUUGGAAACUUUCCUGGUGUGCAUAUUCACACAUACUCACAACUAUUUAAGGUGAUACACUAGUUUGUGUACAAUAUUUAUUAACAAAAUGGCGGCAAAGUAUGAAAUUAAGAAAUUUAACGGAAAUAAUUUUUCGUUGUGGAAAAUAAAGAUGAAAGCUGUAUUGAGGAAAAAUAAUUGCUUGGCAGCAAUUAGAGAAAGGCCUAUGGAGAUAACUGAUGACAAGUGGAACGAGAUAGAUGGCAACGCCAUUUCUGAUUUACACUUGGCGCAUGCAGACAGAGUAUUAUCCAGUCUGGCAGAGAAAAAUACAGCAAAGGAAAUAUGAGAUACACUCACAAAAUUGUACGAGGCCAAGUCACUACACAACAAAAUCUUCUUGAAGAGGAAACUCUAUACUCUUCGAAUGACGGAAUCUACAAUGGUGACUGACUACAUCAACAUCUUGAAAACUCUAUUUUCACAACUCACAGUGUUGGGUUAUAAUAUAGAGGAGAAUGAACGUGCAGAGCUUCUACUUCAAAGUCUACCAGAUUCGUAUGAUCAACUCAUCAUCAACCUGACAAACAACAAUCCAGCGGACAGUCUAGUUUUCGAUUAUGUUGCAGCCUCCGUAUUAAAUGAGGAGAGCAGGCGGAAAAAUAAGGAAAACAGCAAGCAAGUUCGCAUCAAGCGGAGACGCUAUUGGUGACGAGAGGGAGAUCAACGGAACGUGGCCCCAGUGAGAGUCAAAAUCAUGGUAGAUCAAAAUCUAGAAGUAAGAAGAAUGUUAAAUGCUACAAUUGUAGCAAGAAAGGGCACGUCAAGAAAGAAUGUUGGAGUAAUUAGAAGAGAAAAGAGGGCAAAGAACCUGAGUCAUCAAAUGCUCAGGGUUGUGUAGCAAGUACCUCGGAUGAUGGCGAAAUUCUCUACAGCGAGGCAACAACUGUUUCAGAAGGCAGAAAACGACUAUAUGAUGUUUGACUUAUAGACUCAGGAGCUACCUGGCACAUGACCUCUCGGAGAGAAUGGUUCCACACAUAUGAACCUAUCUUAGGAAGAUCUGUAUAUAUGGGUAAUGAUCAGGCCUUGGAGAUCACUAGUAUUGGUACUAUCAAAAUAAAAAUGUUUAAUGGUAUAAUUCGCACAAUUGGGGAGGUACGACAUGUCAACGGCUCUAAGAAAAAUCUUUUGUCUUUGGGACAAAUGGAUAGUCAUGGGUACAAAACUCAUGUGGAGAAUGGAAUUAUGAAGAUCGUUAAAGGCGCGCUUGUAUUGAUGAAGGCAGAAAAGAUCAAUGCUAAUCUAUUCAUGCUUAAAGGAGAAACACUACAGGAGGCUGAUGCGUGUGUUGCAUCAAAUGAAGAAGAGUCAACGAUGAUGUGGCAUCUCAAACUUGGCAACAUGUCGGAACAAGGUUUGAAGAUUCUCUCUAAGCAAAAAUUGCUUCCGGGGCUCAAAUCGGUAAAUUUACCAUUUUGCGAGCAUUGUGUUACAAGUAAGCAGCAUAGAUUAAAAUUCAAUAGAUCUAUUGCUAGAAGUAAAUGCAUUCUAGACUUGAUUCAUUCUAAUAUUUGAGAAUCACCGAAUAUAUCCAUAGGAGGUGCAAAAUACAUGGUGACUUUCAUUGAUGAUUAAUCCAGAAGAUGUUGGGUGUAUCCAAUUAAGAAAAAGUCAGAUGUAUUUUCAGUGUUUAAAGAAUACAAAGCGUGGGUGGAACUUGAAUCUGGUAAAAGGAUAAAGUGCUUGAGGAUAGAUAAUGGUGGAGAGUAUACAAAUGGCGAGUUUCUUGCUUUCUGUAAACAAGAAGGUAUCCAAAGGCAUUUCACGGUGGCAUACACUCCUCAAUAAAAUGGAGUGGCGGAGCGGAUAAACAGAACUCUUACAGAAAGAAUAAGAGCUAUGUUGAGGACUGCUAGUCUACCCAAUUUAUUCUGGGCAGAAGUAGCCAAAACUGCUUGUUAUAUAGUAAAUAGGUCGCCAUCUACAGCCAUUGGGCUGAAGACCGCGAUGGAGAUGUGGACUGGAAAGCCAGCUGAUUAUUCCUACCUACAUGCAUUUGGAUGUUCUAUGUACGUGAUGUACAAUGCCAAAAAAAAAACAAAGCUGAGUCCAAAAUCUAGAAAAUGUAUCUUCUUGGGGUAUGCUGAUGGAGUAAAGAGGUAUCGUCUAUGGGACCCCACUGCCCACAAGAUUGUCAUCAGCAGAGAUGUUAUGUUUAUAGAAGAUCAACUGCAAAGGAAAGAUAAGGAUUAUAGCAGUGUAAAAGAAAAGUCAAAGACUAUACUGGUAUAUGUGGAAAAUAAUCCAGAAGAUUCAGAUUCUUCUGAAGCAGCACCAGAGCACGAGGAAUGAGAACCAGUCGAGUCUGGGGCUCCAGAAGUUCGUCGGUCAACUCGUGAGAGAUGAUCGCCAACGUGGCACUCGGAGUAUGUCAUAGAGAUCAAUGUUGCAUACUAUCUUCUAAUAGAAGAUGGAGAGCCUUCAACUUUCUAUGAAGCUUUAAACAGCUCAGAUGUUGCUUUGUGGAUGACAGCAAUGCAGGAAGAAAUUGAAGCUCUACAUAAGAACAAGACAUGGGAACUUGUACCACUACUACACGGAAGAAAAGCCAUUGGAAACAAAUAGGUCUACAAGAUCAAGCGUAAUGGCAAUGACCAAGUGGAGCGGUUUCGUGCAAGAUUGGUAGUGAAAUGAUAUGCUCAAAAAGAAGGUAUUGACUUCAAUAAGAUAUUUUCGCCGAUAGUUCGACUCACAACAGUCAGAAUAAUCUUGGCAAUGUGUGCUACAUUUGACCUACAUCUAGAGCAGUUAGAUGUGAAAACUGCAUUUCUUCAUGAAGAACUUGAAGAAGAAAUAUAUGUGCUCCAACCAGAAGGUUUUAUAGAAACAGGAAAGGAAAACUUGGUUUGCAGGUUGAACAAAUCUCUAUAUGGUCUCAAACAGGCGUCGAGGUGUUGGUAUAAGAGAUUCGAUUCCUUCAUCAUGAGCCUUGGAUACAACAGAGUAAGUUCAGACCAUUGUACAUAUUAAAAAAGGUUUGAAGAUAAUGAUUUUAUUAUUUUAUUGUUGUACGUGGAUGACAUGUUGGUAGCAGGCCCCAACAAAGAUCGAGUCCAAGCAUUGAAGGCACAGUUGGCUAGGGAGUUUGAAAUGAAGGAUUUGGGACCAGCAAACAAGAUUCUAGGGAUGCAAAUUCACCGAGACAGAAAUAGCAGGAAGAUUUGGCUUUCGCAGAAGAAUUACUUGAAGAAAAUCUUGCAGCGCUUCAACAUGCAAGAUUGUAAGUCAAUUUCUACCCCACUUCCUGUUAAUUUCAAAUUAUCCUCAAGUAUGUGUCCUAGCAAUGAAGGAGAGAGGAAGGAGAUAUCUCGAGUACCGUAUGCAUCAGCAGUUGGAAGUUUGAUGUUUGCUAUGAUAUGUACAAGACCAGACAUUGCACAAGCAGUGGGAGCAGUCAGUCGAUACAUGGCCAAUCCCGGUGGAGAGCAUUGGAUAGCUGUGAAGAAGAUUCUGAGAUACAUCAGACGAACCUCAGAUGUUGCAUUAUGUUAUGGAGGAUCAGAGUUUACUGUCAGGGGCUAUGUGGAUUCAGAUUUUGUAGGAGACCUUGAGAAAAGAAAAUCUACUACUAGUUAUGUGUUCACACUUGCGGUAGCAGCUGUAAGCUAGGUUUCGAAACUGCAGACCGUUGUGGCUUUAUCUACAACAGAAGCAGAAUACAUGGCAGCUACACAAGCUUGCAAGGAAGCUAUUUGGACACAAAGAUUAUUGGAGGAGCAUGGGCACAAACAACAGAAAAUUCAUGUGUUUUGUGACAGUCAGAGUGCCUUGCACAUUGCAAGGAAUCCAGUCCUUCAUUCCAGGACAAAGCACAUAGGAGUUCAGUAUAACGCCGUUCGAGAAAUAGUGGAAGACGGAAAUGUGGAUUUACAGAAAAUCCAUACGAAGGAGAACCGAGCAGAUGUUUUGACCAAGCCGAUAAAUACUGAUAAGUUUGUUUGGAGUAGAUCCUCUUGUGGCCUAGCAGAAACGUAGGCAAUAUGAUUAUGGCGAAGCAGAAAAGAUGGUGUGGAGAUUGAUUGAUUUUCAGUCAAAUCUCCAAGUGGGAGAAAUAUCAAAGCCGGUGGUAGCCUAGCCAAAAUCAAAUUGGCUUUGGCAACCACCCAAAGAAAUAAACAUGGCUUUGGCAGCCACCUAAAGAAAUAAACAAAAGAGAAACAGAAGAAAAAGAGAUGAGGGAGGUGCCGCCCAAAGAAAUGAAGCACACGGCUUUGACUUGUUCUAAAAAAAAAAAAAAGAGCCAAAAUUUUUUUCUAUAUAAAGAGGGCUUCCCACCCUCAUUUUUGCAUUCUAUUUAAGAGAGAACAAUCUAGUAUUUUUUGAGAGAAAGAGUUUAGAGAGCUUGAAAUUAUAAGCUCUUGUUAUAGAAAUUUGAUAGUUUGGGUGUAUUGGGGUUUUGGGAAGUGGGCUAAAAUAUUACAAUACUUGUAACUCCUUUUACUAGUAAAAUAUUUCCUUCUGUCUUCGCCCGUGGAUGUAGGCUAAAAGCCGAACCACGUAAUUUCUGAUAUUCUCUUUUGUGCUUGUUCUUUAUUUUUUUUCCAAUUUUAUUUUAGCUGCAGUCCUGCUUCACCUACCAAUUUUCAAAAAGGUAUGACCAUGGUCAUUGCAGUUAGGUUUUGAUGAUUUCAGAUGCUUUUUUAAAAAAAAAUUGUGACUGACGAUUACAAUCAUUACAGCAAUGCUGAUGAGUGAUACAUCACUUGAAAUUUACUUGUCAGUUGCUGAAAUGAUGAAAAAAGACCAUAAACAAUAAGAUUAAUAAUGUUCUCUUGCUGAAUUCUAAUUUUGACUUUCAACUCUUGGUUUUUAUGGAAAGUAAAAUGACUUGUAUAUUGUUUAGAAACUCGAAUCUAACCAGUAACAAACUCGAAUCUAUCAUUAUCUAAACAAAAAACCAAGAGUUUCUAACCAGUAACAAACAAAGCAAUCUUAGUCUUUCAUGGAGCGGAACCUUAGUCUCAGUAUGAUCACUGUCUCAUUAACCCACUGCCUGCUUCUUUGCUUGGUUGUUGCAGCAACAGCAGCAGCAAGCAACAAUAUUAUCACAUACCAACAAGCUCUUCUUGCCCUGAAAGAUCAUAUCACUUAUGAUCCAACCAACCUUUUUGCCCAUAAUUGAACCUCGAAUACCUCUGUUUGUACCUGGAUUGGCAUCACUUGUGAUGUCAAUAGCCAUAGAGUCACAACCUUAGAUAUUUCUCAAUUCAAUCUACAAGGCACCAUCCCUCAACUUGGAAACCUCUCUUCACUCACAACACUUAAUUUUAGUCAUAAUAAGCUUUCUGGAAACGUUCCCUCCUCCAUCUACACCAUGCAUACGCUAAAAUUAUUAUAAGUGAAUAUGAAAUAGUUCACUCAAAGCAAGGAUAAAUGGAUGAAAGUACUACUCAUUUUAUUCACAAUGAGGUUGCCUUUUAUAGGCGUUACAUGAACAAACUUAAUGAAAUAAUAGCAGCUAUUAUUCAGCAAAUACUGCAGCCACUUUCCAGUAACUAUAGCCUAAAGACUAGGUAAACACAAUCUUGCAAAUAACAUUACCAACAAACUUCCUAAAGACUAGGACCAUAAAAGCAACUUAUUGACAUAAGGAAAUUCCAACAAUCCCUCCCUUAAACUAAAUGUUAUUAACAUUCAGUUUAAACAUUCUGCAGAAUCUUCCUCAAAUUGCAAUUUGCAAACUCCAAGUGACUUUCUCAACUUAAAAAAACUAGCCAAUUUGAGGGGUUUAGUAAAGAUGUCAGCAACUUGGUCUUCACUCUUGCAAUAAACAAGAUCAAUGACUUCAUUUUUUGUCAAGUCUCACAAGAAAUGAUAUCUCACAUCUAUGUGCUUGCAUCUUCCAUGUAGAACCGGAUUCUUUGAAAGUUUAAUUGUUGAACUAUUAUCACAGAAGAUUUGUGUUGACUUUGGUUGCUUAAACUGAAGUUCAUGAAGAAUAUUUCUUAGCCAAAGUGCUUGACAUGCACAAGAAGCUGCUGCAACAAACUCAGCUUCAGUUGUUGACAAAGUAACUAUCGGUUGCUUCUUAGAUGACCAUGAAAUAGCUGCUGAACCAAACAUAAAUACAUAUCCAGAUGUGCUUCUUCUGUCAUCCAAAUCUCCAGCAUAAUCAGUGUCUAUAAAGCCAUACAAAUUUGAUUUUUUACCCUUUUUAUAGAACAACCCAAAUUCAGCUGUACCACGCAAGUAUCGAAGAAUUCUUUUUGCAGCUAAAAGAUGAUCCUCUCUUGGACGCUCCAUAUAUCUGCUGAUGGAACUAACUGCAUGCAUUAUAUCAGGUCGAGUUGCCGUUAAGUACAUCAAGCUUCCAACAAUCUGUUUGUAAAGGGUACUAUCAAGCAGGAUCCUUAACAAACUUCAAUCCUUUUUCAAUUGGAGUAGUGACAGAGUUGCAGUUCUUCAUUUGAAAUCUUUCUAAGAUCUCUUUCACAUAUUUCUUUUGACAAAUAAAAUUUCCAGCAUCAGAUUGUAUGACUUCUAAGCCAAGAAAAUAAUGCAGCAAACCAACAUCAGUCAUAUCAAAUUCAAGCAUCAUGGAUUCCUUGAAUUUCUCAAACAUUACUCUGUCAUUUCCCGUGUAAAUCAAAUCAUCUACAUAUAAACAUACCAUAAGCAUUUUCCCAUCAUCUCCAAUUUUUAUGUACAGAGUAUGCUCAUAUGGGCAUUUUCGAAAACCUUCCUCCAAGAAAUAAGCAUCUAUAUGACUAUACCAAGCUCGGGGUGCUUGUUUUAGUCCAUAUAGAGCUUUUUUCAAUUUAUAGACUUUAUGCUCACUGCCUAAUUUCACAUAUCUAGGAGGUUGUUCGAUAAAUACCUCUUCUUGUAGCUCCCUAUGCAAGAAUGCUGAUUUCACGUCCAGUUGAAAAACAGGCCAUGAAUUUUGUGCUGCAAGAGCAAUAAUCAAUCUGAUCGUUUCAAGUCUUGCAACGAGAGAAAAUACUUCUUUAUAAUCCGCGCCGAACUCUUGCUUGUAGCCUUUGGCGACUAGGAGUGCCUUGUAUUUAUCAAUUUCACCAUUUUCCUUCAAUUUUGUCUUGUAAACCCACUUGACUCCUAUUGUCCUCUGCCCCAUUGGAAGUUCAGUCAACUCCCAAGUAUUAUUUUUUUCAAUGGAUGCAAUUUCUUCGUCCAUGGAUUUUAGCCAUUUUUGUUCUUUGACAGCUUCUUUAAAAGUUGUAGGAUCACAUUCUGAAAACAAGGCAAAGUGUAUGAGUGGAUUCUCAAGAGUGUUAAAUCUUGUUACCUCAUAAUCUGACAUCCAUGCAGGCCUUCUUCUAUCACGUUGAGAACGUGAAUCUGUAGCUUCAACUUGUUCAUUAAGUUCAUUUGUUGCUGGUGGAGUUUCUACUGAGACUCUAUUUUGCGGCAGGUCAGGAGCAGAGACUGUUGAAGGCUGAAGUUGCUGUGAAUUUUCUUCAAUUUCACCAUCGAAAUCUGCUGGAAUUUGCUGCCCAAUAGAACUGCAUCUCCACAUCCAUGUCUUCUCUUCAUAAAAAAUGACAUCACGACUAAUGACAAUUUUCUUGAUGAUGGGAUCAUAUAAUUUGUAGGCCUUUGAAUGAUCACUAACACUAAGAAAACUGCACUUUACACCUUUGUCAUCUAAUUUUCUUCUUUUCUCAUCUGGUAUGUGGACAUAUGCUAUACAUCCAAAUACCCGAAAGUGAUCUACUGCCGGCUUACAUCCACUCCAUGCUUCUUCAGGAGUUAUAUUUUGAACAGCUAUUGUGGGGCUUCUGUUCAAAAUAUAAACACUCCAAACAACUGCUUCAGGCCAAAAACUUUUGGGAAGACCACUCCUCCGCAGAAGGCUUCGUACCAUAUUAAGAAUUGUACGAUUUUUCCUCUCGCAUACACCAUUUUGCUGAGGUGUGUAGGCUGUUGUCAAUUGUCUUCUAAUUCCAUGAUUUUUGCAAAAGCUUCCAAAUUCUUGAGAGUUGAACUCUCCACCACGAUCAGUACGCAAUAUUUUAAUUUGGCUGUCAGCUUCUCUUUCAACUAAUGCUUUAAACAUUUAAAAGGCUGUGAAAACUUCCGAUUUUUCUUGCAAGAAAUAAACCCAGGUUUUUCAACUAAAAUCAUCAAUAAUUGAGAUAAAAUAUCGUUUACCUCCAUUUGAUGUUGGCUUGAUUGGCCCACAUAAGUCUGAAUGCACUAGCUCCAGCACUUUCUUUGCCCUCCGGGAUUUUCCUUUUGGAAAAUUAUCUCGAUGUUGCUUACUGACAAUACACUCUUCGCAAAGCUGUGAAGGUUGCUCAAAUUUCUAGACUUCACGGAUAACCAGCUCUCUGGUUCAGUGUCUUCCUUCGUCUUCAACAUGUCUUCAAUAUUAGACAUUCGUUUGACUAAUAACAGACUCUGGUGAGCUUCCGAAAAAUAUUUGCAACUAUAUUCCUUAUUUGAAAGCCCUUUCUUUAGACAAAAACAUGUUUCAUGGCAAAAUUCCUUAUGCUUUAUCAAAGUGCAAACAACUGCAACAAUUAAAUUUGCAGUUCAAUAAUUUAUCCGGUGCAAUACCGAAAGAAAUCGGCAACUUGACUAUGCUCAAAGGGAUAUAUCUCGGCUACAACAAACUCCACGGUAUGCUCAUAAUACUAUACAAAUAUUAUCUUUCUUGAAUACUUUAGAUAAGAUCUUGUAUGUGAGAUUUUUUUGCAUCUAUAUUAAUUUUCCAGGUGAGAUACCGCACGAAAUCGCUAAUCUUCGAAAUCUAGAGGCUUUAGCGCUUGGAAUGAACAACCUAGUUGGUGUGGUAUCAGCUCCAAUAUUCAACAUGUCAACAUUGAAGAUAAUUAUCCUCAUAAAUAACUCCCUCUUCGGAAGUCUUCCAUCAAGAAUAGGCCUUUCACUUCCAACUGUUGAGCAUCUUAACUUGGAACUUAAUAGAUUUUCUGGAACCAUUCCUAGUUCCAUCACCAAUGCUUCUAAGCUCACCCUUCUAAAGUUGGGAGGAAACACAUUUUCGGGCCUUAUUCCGGACACAAUUGGUAAUUUAAGAAACCUUGAGUGGCUCGGCUUGGCUUAUAACAACUUGACAUCUUCAACCUCAAAAUUGAGCUUUCUUUCCUCUUUGGCAAAUUGCAUGAAAUUAAGAUCCUUAAACUUAAUAGGCAAUCCACUUGACGGCUUCCUUCCAAGUUCAAUAGGUAAUCUUUCUAUGUCCUUGGAAACACUUCUCAUCACCAAUUGCAGUAUUAGUGGCAACAUUCCUCAAGCAAUUUCAACCAAAUAUCUUUUUCAAAAUAAUUAGGGUGUUUUAAGCAAUUUGAAAAAUAAAUGGAGUAAUUAAAAUUAUUUAGUAGGUAAUUAACUUGAACGGUAGAGGGUAAGCGAACAUUUAUCCCAAUUAUAUUAUGAGAAAUCCUUUUCCGAUUAGAAUUAGGAAACCGAGGUAUACUGAUUUUUUUGUUUUUUUAAUUUCCCUAUGCGAAAACGGAUUAGAGAAUAAGAAAACAAUCCUAGUGAUAUUAUUGUUAGGUUUAAAACACUGCAUAGAUAGUAAAAAGCGAACUAGUCUGUAGAGUAAUUUGUUAAUUGCUAUCGCCUCUCCAUGCAUGGUGAAUAAUUUGUUGCAUGCAAACUUUUUAUGUAUAAGAAAAAAAUUCUGUAGUUUAAGAAAAACAAAAAGGCAUGUUGAAUAGAUUACAAUAGUUUAAGGAAAAAAAUUAUUCAAUUGGGAAUUUUUUUUUCUUUAAUUUUUGUUGUACUUGAUUGAGAUUUCUCCUUAUUCCUUACAGUUUUAAGUUUGGAUACCGUAGGAUUAGUAAUUUCGUACUUCCUUUGCAAGCUGAGUAUAAGGAAGAAAUUCUUUUAAGAAAUUAAAAAAGAUAAAAAAAAGGCAUACCAGUAGGCAAUUAUAAAUAACCACAAAUAAAUAUAAACAAAAUGUUUAUGAAGUAAAUUAAACAUGCACAUAUUAUUUUCUUUUAUUUUCUGCUUGGAAACCCAUAAAUACACUAAUCCAGUACUACUAAUUUCAAACAGAAAAAUUUGAACUCUGGGCUGCAGUUUGACUCAAAAUGAUGAUCACUGGCUUCGCACCAUUUAACCGGUAUACAUUUCUACAAACUGAACAAGGCUAUUGAUUAUUAUUAUUAUUUUAAUUUGUUUAUAAAUUACUACUUUAAUUUUCACUUUUUAUUGGGUUGUUUAACGGAUUGGUGAAGUUGGUGGUCGUUGAUGCACUCACAAUGUACAAUUUUAUUUUAUAAUUUCAAAUUGGUAUUUUAAAAUGCAGGUACAUUGUGUAUACAUAAUUAUUGAUUUUCGAAUGAGGGUGUUUUGAAAUAUUGCUAAAAGACCAAACUUUAAUAAACUAUUUUUGAUCUUUUUUUUCUUCCUAAAGUUUGGGUGAUAUGCGCAUUUUAAAUUCAUGUGUAACAAAAGUUAAUGUAUGUAUAAAAAUUCUUUUAUUUUACUGAGCAAAAUAGGCAAGCGAAAAAGUUUUGGCAAAUGAGUUGCAACUGAAUUCAAAACCAAUACAAUGCGAGCAUAGGAAAGAGGUCAGUGUUCAGGAUUUGAAUUUAGUAUUAAGCUGAAUUUUAUGGUAAGCUCUUUUAUAGUACUGUAAUUAGUAAGCUAAGCCCCGGAUUUGCUUUUGCUUUUGCUUUUACUUCAAGUGAAAGAAAGAGGAAACCUUUUGUUUUUUCUUUGGUUUUCAACUAUGUUACCUAUACAGAGAGUCAAGAUACCUGCCAUAAGUGAUGGUGUUAAAAAGAUUAAGCAGAGCACACAAUCUUACUGUCGUCUAGACCAUCCAGUGAUGACUCUAGUCUUUUGGUUACGUUAGUUUUAGUUGAAAGAAGGGCCAAUUUAACAAAGACUAGAUUUGAUGGCUCACUAUGUUUAAUGUAAUGCUAAUUCUCAGGGAAUCUAAUGUUAUAACUUAUAAGAUGAUCUCCUAUGUUGAAUAACAGUAACACAUUACUGUGAUUGAGAGAACACAGUUACAAUAAACUCUUCCUUUACUCAUUGCGGAGAUUUAAUAGCAAACAGAGAAUAGAAUGAAGCAGAGGAAUCUCAUUGCCAGUAAAAUUGACCCUCUUUAUUAUUAUAUGGCACAGGUGUGGAGGAAGAACAAGUUACUUGCAGUUUUUAUUGUAAAAUAUACAGGUAUGACCAUGAUCAUUAUAGUUAGGUUUUGAUGAUUUCAGAUGCUUUUUUUUUUUAAAAAAAAAUUGUGACAUCUUUGAUUUACGGUAGUUUUGCAGAAAAAAAUAUCUAAAAAUUAAGAGGGAUGAGUUAACUGACGAUUACAAUCAUUACAACAAUGCUGAUGAGUGAUACAUCACUUGAAAUUUACUUGUCAGUUGCUGAAAUGAUGGAAAAAAACAAUAAACGAUAACAAUAAUAAUGUUCCCUUGCUGAAAUUCAAUUUUGACUUUCGACUCUUGGCUUUUAUGGAAAGUAAAAUGACUUGUACAUUAUACUCAUACAAUCCACUCUACAUAAUGAUAUCAUUUUAAUAAGGCAAUGGCUGAUGAUCUCCAUUGAAAAACUACUUCAAUUUUUUUGCUUUAUUUAACUUUUUGGUUGUUGAAAAUAACCUUAAUUAUCAAAUAUUUGGAGAAAGACAAAGGGUGCUUGCAGAAGUGGCAAUAUAUAUAUAUAUAUAAAAGGAGAAGUUGAAGAGAAAGGGUGCUUGCAGAAGUGGGUGUCAAAGAUAAAUCGGUCCAUAAGAAUUAUUACGGUUAUUUUUUGGCAAUAUAAAAAUUUUUUAGCAAAUAAAAAUUAAUUUUUUUCCAAUUUACUAAAAAAUUAAUUAAAAACUUCUGCGAUGGCAUUUUUUAUGGGUGCAUAUACCCUCCCUUUAAAAGAAAAAAUAAUAAUUAAUACUUAAUAUAGUAUUAAAUACGAAAAUAUCAAUAUUUGACUACUCAAAUUUAUAUCAAUAGGUCCUUAAAAUUUAAAAUUGAAGAUACAAGAGGAAAUAUAUAUAAAUUUAAUUCUCAUCGGAAAGGAUCCUCUUAUAAUUUUAUAUAUUUGAGCUUUGAAAGAUUUUUUGAAACAAAUGUACUUUUAUUUAUGUACAAUCAAUAUUUACUUAUUCAUUAUAUAUUUAUUUACUAACUAUCAAUCAUGUUAAUAUAUUUAGUCAGAAAAAUCAUAUCAAGAAAAAAUCAUGAUCCCACGCACAGAUAAAUACGUUAAUUUCUAUACUAUUCACUUACCUGUGUAAUCAAUUAUCUAAAAUGCAAGUUUGUGGCUACGGAAAACUCUCCAAAGAAAGAAGAUAAUAACAAUUGAGCAUUGAUAGCAAAACUAAUGCAUCAUUUUCUUCUUGACUUGAUGAGAUGACGCCAUGAUGUAAAAACAAGUACCUAAAUUGACCGGCAUUGAGUGAUGUGAAUACUACCAGCCGGUUCAUCUCUUCCAGUCUUGCUUAGUUACAAUCACAAACACCACGAGAUCGACAUUUGCAUUAUAUAUAUCUUCAGCAGUCGAAACACCUUGCAUUACCAAUAAACCAGUAACAAACAAAGCAAUCUUUCAUGGAGAGAAACCUUAGUCUCAGUAUGAUCACUGUGUCAUUAACCCACUGCCUGCUUCUUUGCUUGGUUGUUGCAGCAGCAGCAGCAGCAAGCAGCAAUAUUCCCACAGACCAACAAGCUCUUCUUGCCCUGAAAGAUCAUAUAAUUUAUGAUCCGACCAACCUUUUAGCCCAUAAUUGGACCUCGAAUACCUCUGUUUGUACCUGGAUUGGCAUCACUUGUGAUGUCAAUAGCCAUAGAGUCACAACCUUAGAUAUUUCUCAAUUCAAUCUACAAGGCACCAUCCCUCCUCAACUUGGAAACCUCUCUUCACUCACAACACUUAAUCUUAGUCAUAAUAAGCUUUCUGGAAGCAUUCCCCCUCCAUCUACACCAUGCAUACGCUAAAAUUUCUAGACUCCACUGAUAACCAGCUCUCUGGUUCAGUGUCUUCCUUCGUCUUCAACAUGACUUCAAUAUUCGACAUUCGUUUGACCAAUAACAGACUUUCCGGUGAGCUUCCGAAAAAUAUUUGCAAUUACCUUCCUCAUUUGAAAGCCCUUUUUUUGGACAAAAACAUGUUUCAUGGAAAAAUUCCUUCUGCUUUAUCAAAGUGCAAACAACUGCAACAAUUAAAUUUGCAUUCCAAUAAUUUAUCCGGGGCAAUACCAAAAGAAAUCGGCAACUUGACUAUGCUCAAAGGGAUAGACCUCGGCUACAACAAACUCCACGGUAUGUUCAUAAUACUAUCUAAAUAUUUUAAUUUAUCACUUGUUAAUUUUCUUGAAUACCUUAGAUAAGAUCUUGUAAGUGAGAUUUUUUGCAUCUAUGUUAAUUUACCAGGUGAGAUACCACACGAAAUCGCUAAUCUUCGAAAUCUAGAGGCUUUAGUGCUUGGAAUGAACAACCUAGUUGGUAUGGUAUCAGCUACAAUCUUCAACAUGUCAACAGUGAAGGUGAUUAUCCUCAUAAAUAACUCUCUCUCUGGAAGUCUUCCAUCAAGAAUGGACCUUUCACUUCCAACUAUUGAGCAUCUUAACUUGGCACUUAAUAGAUUUUCUGGAACCAUUCCUAGUUCUAUCACCAAUGCUUCUAAGCUCACCUUUCUAGAGUUGGGAGGAAACACAUUUUCGGGCUUUAUUCCAAACACAUUUGGUAAUUUAAGAAACCUUGAGCUGCUCGACUUGGCUAAUAACUACUUGACAUCUUCAACCUCAAAAUUGAGCUUCCUUUCCUCUUUGGCAAAUUGCAAGAAAUUAAGAACCUUAAGAUUAAGUGGCAAUCCACUUGACGGCGUCCUUCCAAGUUCAAUAGGAAAUCUUUCUAAGUCUUUGGAAACACUUGUCAUCGUCAAUUGCAGUAUUAGUGGCAACAUUCCUCGAGCAAUUGGCAAUUUAAGCAACUUGUUGGCCUUAGUAUUAGAAGCCAAUAAAUUGACUGGACCAAUUCCAAUUACAUUCGGCCGACUACAGAAACUCCAAGGCUUAGAUCUUGCAUUCAAUAAGUUGGUAGGUUCAUUCCCAGAUGAGCUUUGCCAUCUAGCUAGGCUGGCUGAAUUGGUCUUAUUUGGCAAUAAGCUUUCAGGAUCUAUACCUUCAUGCCUAAGUAAUCUCACUUCUCUAAGAUCUCUCUACUUAGGGUCCAAUAGGUUUACUUCUGUUAUUCCCUCAACUUUCUGGAGCCUAAAAGACAUCUUGUUCUUUGACUUUUCAUCAAAUUUCUUGGUUGGUCCUCUUUCUUUAGACAUAGGAAAUUUGAAGGUGCUUGUAAGAAUAAAUUUAUCAAAAAAUAACUUAUCCGGUGAUAUCCCAGCCACAAUUGGAGGACUGAAAGAUCUUCAAUUUAUGGACGUAGCAUAUAAUAGAUUGGAAGGCCCAAUUCCUGAAUCAUUUGGUGACUUGACAAGUUUGGAGGUUUUGAAUUUGUCAAAAAAUAAAAUCUCUGGGUCUAUUCCAACAUCCAUGGAGAAACUCUUUUACCUCCGAGAGUUAAAUCUCUCUUUCAAUGAACUAGAAGGUGAGAUUCCCAGUGGAGGAAUUUUUGCCAACUUCACAGCUGAGUCAUUUAUGGGAAAUGAGUUAUUGUGUGGUUUACCAAGUCUUCAAGUCCAACCAUGCAAAGUUAGCAAGCCGAGGACAGAACAUAAAUCAAGGAAAAAGAUACUUCUCAUUGUGAUUGUUUUGCCAUUGAGUAUUGCUCUAACAAUAGCAAUCACACUAGCUCUCAAAUCUAAGCUGAUCGAAUGUGGAAAAAGAAGCACAGUGUUGUCAAAUGAUAGUGUCUUGUCAUCACAAGCAACACUAAGAAGAUUUUCAUACUUAGAACUUUUACAAGCAACAGAUAAUUUUGCUGAAAACAACGUAAUUGGCAUUGGAGGUUUUGGUUCUGUUUAUAGAGCAAGACUUGAAGAUGGGAUGAAGAUUGCAAUAAAAGUGUUUCACCAGCAAUGUGCAAGCGCAUUGAAGAGUUUUGAGGCUGAAUGUGAAGUGUUAAAAAAUAUUCGCCAUCGAAAUCUUCUCAAAGUUAUCAGCAGUUAUUCAAACAAUGACUUCAAAGCAUUAGUCCUAGAAUACAUGUCCAACGGGAGCUUGGGGGAUUGGCUGCAUUCUAGCAAUUAUAUGCUGAAUAUAUUUCAAAGGUUGAACAUAAUGAUUGACGUUGCAUCAGCUUUAGAAUAUCUCCACUUCGAUCAUUCAACUCCUAUCAUUCACUGUGACUUAAAGCCUAGUAAUGUAUUGUUGGACGAAAAUAUGGUUGCUCAUUUGAGUGAUUUUGGCAUAGCAAAGCUUUUAAGUGGAGAGGAUGAGUAUUUGAUGCGAACAAAAACCCUUGCCACUAUAGGUUAUAUGGCACCAGGUUUGCUUCAAACAAUUGUUUUUUUUUAAGUUCAUUUUAAAUUUUCCAAAUCAUUGAUUUUUACGAUCCUCACAUCAAAAUUUUCUUGAUUAUUUAUCUAAUUGUGAAAUUAAUUUUAUUCAUAGAGUACGGCAUAGAAGGAGAAGUAUCUACAAAAAGUGAUGUUUACAGCUAUGGGAUUAUGUUGAUGGAAACUUUUACUAAGAAAAACCCCACAGAUGAAAUUUUUGUUGGAGAAUUGAGCUUAAAGCGUUGGGUUAAUGACUUGCUUCCUACUUCAUUAGUGGAAGUUGUGGACAAAACUCUGCUAAGUGGAGAGGAAAAACAUUCUGCAGUAAAGGAGCAAUGUCUGUUGUCUAUCUUUAGUUUGGCUCUGGAGUGUACAAUGGAAUCACCGGAAAAGAGGAUUAAUGCAAAAGAUGUUGUUACCAGAUUACUCAAGAUAAGAGACACAUUGAGUAAAAGGAUAGGAAACUGAAGUUAAUUUCGUUUGCUUUCAUUGAUAGUUAAUUCAAAUUCAUGUAAUAAGUGUAAGAAUCUUAUAUCCUUUCCUUUGAUUUUUUUUUUUUUUUGAGAAAACUGUUGUAGUCAUCUUGUUUCACUGCCCCCAAUGCUUUGGACACCUACUGGUAGGUUUGUACGUGUCCUCAACUUUUUUUAGGAGCACAAAAUUCGAGUCCCAUGGAGACUCAAACAUUCCUUUCCCACAUCCCGAGCACGCUAAGUUCGAGUGAAAGAGAUUAAUUUACGGAAACUAAAGCCAAGAGAAUAAAGGACAACACUUAUGUGAAGCGACAUAAAUGUAUUGAUAGCACAAUGUCAAAUUCAUACAGAGAUCUAGUAUACUAUUUACAGCCGGUAAGGGCUAAGAAUUGAUGUAGCUAGAAUACAAAGACGAUAAGGUAUGUUGUGCACUAUUGUUUUAUUCUACGAUCAAUCUUGACCCUUGAUGCUUGGCUCUCAAUCUUGUCCAUUGAUCUUCUUUGAUUUUGUACACUUCAAGACCUUUCAGUAUCAUUCCUUGUUGUUGGUGUCUUCCGUGCUGUAGAAUUCAUAUACAAGCCUUCCCGCCGACUUGCGAAGUAUUCGUUCAUUGAUGCAUUUUUAUCAAACAGUUGGCCGACUUGCCAAGUAUCAUGCCUUGUUAUAGGUAGGCUUGGUAGGAUUAUGGGUCGGUCGGUAGAUGUACAUGUGUUAAAGCUUUUGAAUUUAUGCCAAUUGAAAAUAAAAAAGAAUCUACAUAAAUUUUCAACGAGGCUAUUACCACAAUAAGCAUUUGGAUGAAUUAUUAUUGAAUCCUUUCUGAGAAGUAGGACAUGUCAGACAUCAAAGCACUGAGAUAUCUUCAAAUAGUGGUAACCCCCACGCAACAAGGCACAAUAAAUUAUACAGAUAAAAUCCUUCACUCUUUCGUAAUCAUCAGUGUAGGCACGGUGAUGCGUCAGACAGAUAUGGGUCGGAUCCACUCCAGCUCCAUAUCAAGAUUCAUAAACCAUGACAAAAAUAGAGAAUCAUAGGUGUUGCAGAUAGUGAUGGUUGUUGAUGCACUCGUGAUUUAAAAUUUUAUUUUAUAUCUUCAAGUUCGCAUUUUAAGUGUCCUUUUUUUUAAUUUUUUAUUGUGAUCAUUAUAACUUGUCAAAUCUAUUUUUAAAUAAUUUUUUAAAAAUAUUUUAUUAACAAUGAUAUGAAAAUAUUCGAACACCUUUUCAUAGUAAAGUGAAUUAUUAUCCGACGAUCCAACUCAUGUUUUCAAAUUGUAAAUUGCAAAUCGUGUGUUUGCUCCAUUACAGAGUUUCAUCAAUUUGAAAUAGAGAAUCAUUUGUGUUCUAGAUUAAUCGAGGGUCUAUAUCCAAAUCUAAAAAUUGACUAACUUGGUUUCUAUUAAAUUCUUAAUCCUAACAAGAAAAAUAGAAGAUUAAAAAUGACUAAUUUGGUUUCUAUUAAUUUGAGUAACGAUCGAAUUACCUAAUUUAUUAAGAUUUAUCAAAAUCCUAUGUCAAAAUCCAUUAAUGAUAUAGGUUCAAUGACGAAAUAGUCACUUGUUAUUAUUUUUGACUUCAUAAAUAGAUGAACGGAUGUUAUUUUUGGAUUCUGGAGAAUCGAAAAUAUCAGGAUAGGUGAUAAAUGGAAUUAAGUUGUAGAUAAGAUAGAAAUGGAUUUGGAGAGAGAUUGGAAUCCUGGGUAAUCCGGAGUACGUUGUUGUGUUGAAUGCUCGUUGACUUCACGUUGACUGAAACAUUAUUGGAAGAAGUGAGCAAGCUUAUUUUCUUCUCUCAUUUUUUAAAUUUGUCUUAAGUUUAUUGAUGUGAGGCCUUUGAGAUUGUAAGUUUCAAAUCUGAGAAGAAUAACCACACACCCAUUAUCCUAUUACUCUUAUUUUAUCACAUGAAGAGAAUUCGAAGUUUGAUAAAUUUGUGAGGAUUGUGAGGGUUGAUGCAAUAUAAUUUAGAUGCAAAGUGUUUACAAGUACGAUGCUUCAUAAGUGUUCUUGAAUCAUUAUAAACUCACGUUAUUUUUAUAAUGAUUGUUUCAUCUGCACAUGGAUAUAAUCAUAUGUUGAGAUUUUUUCCUAAAUUAUGGUCUUAUUUGGUAUUGAGGUGUUAGAUCUUUUAAGUUACAAUUACUAUUGGAAAAAAAAGUGCAACUAUGAAAUAAAAGUUAAUAUUGUGUACUAAAUAUAAUUGUUAAAUAAUAAUUUUGACAAAAUUAGUGAAGAUAUAUAGGUUUUUUUUUAAUCAUCUAAGUGUAAAAUCAAAUCAACUUAACUUCUAAACUAUAUAGCAGCUACUGUUUACCAAAUACUUUAGUACUGUAACUUUUAAGUUAUAGCUGCCUAACCUCAGUCUCAAACAAUGGCUAUAAAGAUCAAAGAUUUCCUCAUAAAAAUUAUACGUCUUGUGAUUGCUUAUUUAAUUUAUAUUUUUUUAUUUAUCUUUAUUAAUUACAGUCAUCUUUUAAUAAAUUACAAUUGCAGGAAGUUGAUGUUCGAAGUGCUUAUGUCGACUCAAAGUUGUUGGGAAUUAAUGCAUGUAUUGAUUUAUUGGGAGUGUUUAAAUGAUUUUGUGAUUUACUUGAUUGAUUGAUUGAAUAAUGUUUGAUUGCUUCAUAUCCGUUCUAGAAAGUUUAUUUCUUUGUGAAAUUUCAAUGAAAUAUGUUUUUUUAAAUUAUAAGGGUUUUUUAAGUAAUUUUAAAAAUAAAUGAACUAAUAAGGAUUAAUUAUUAGGUAAUUAACUUGAACUAUACAGGGUAAGCGAACAUGUAUCCUAAUUAUAUCAUGAUAAAUCCUUUUCCGAUCAGAAUUAGGAAACCAUAAGUAUAUUGAUUUUUUUUUCCAAUUCUCCUUUGCGAAAACGGAUUACAGAAUUAGAAAACAAUCCUAAUGAUAUUAUUGUUAGGUUUAAAACACUGCAUAGAUAGUAAAAAGCUAACUAGUUCGUAGAGUAAUUUGUUAAUUGCUAUCGCCUCUGCCUGCGCGGUGAAUAAUUUGUUGCAUGCAAAUUUUUUAUUUUAUGCAAAUCGUACUGAACAUUGGAAUUGAUGUAUAAGCAAAAAUACAAGAGUAUUUAUGUCAAUACAAAUUUUUUUUUUCCAUUUUAAAUAAACACAACGCGAUGUUUAUCUGCUCCGCGUUUUUGCAAUCUGUUUAUUCGUUGUUUAUUUGCUUCUUAAGGCCUCAAACUUUGAUAACCAAAAAUUUCACCAAACUAUGAAAAAUAUUCUGCAGGUUAGUUUUUAUUUUCGGAAUAAUUAUUUGAGAAUACUAAAACACAAUAUAAAAUAAGAAAAUAGGGGGUUAAAAUUUGAAAAAAAAACAAAAGGGCAUGUUGGAUAGAUUACUGUAGUUUAAGAAAAAAAUUAUUCAGUUGGGAAUUUUUUUUCUUUAAUUUUUGUUUUACUUAAUUGAGAUUUCUCCUUAAUCCUUACAGUUUUAAAUUUGGAUAACAUAGGAUUAGUAAUUUAGUACUUCCUUUGCAAGCCGAGGUUAAUGAUGAAAUUCUUUUAAGAAAAAAGAUAAAAGAGCAUACCAAUAGUCAAUUAUAAAUAACCACAAAUAAAUACAAACAAAAUGUUUAUGAAGUAAAUUAAAAAUGUGCAUAUUAUUUUUUUUUUAUUUCUUACUAAUCUUUGUAUUUGCUGCUUGAAAAACCAUAAAUACACAGAUGACCAUUGGCUUCGCACCAUUUAAUUGGGAUACAUUUCUACGUACAAACUGAACAAGGCUAUUGAUUUUUAUUAUUAUUUUUAUUUAUUUAUAAAUUACUAUUUCAAUUUUCACUUUUUAUUGGGUUGUUUAAUGGAUUAGUGAGGCUGGUGGUCGUUGAUGCACUCACAAGGUACAAUUUUGUUUUCCAAUUUCAAAUUCGUAUUUUAAAAUGCAGCACAUUAUGUAUACAUAAUUAUUGAUUUUCAUAUGUGGGUGUUUUGAAAUAUUGCUAAAAGACCAAACUUUAAUAAACUAUUUUUGAUCCUUUUUUGUUUCUUUUUUCCUAAAGUUUGAGUGAUAUCCGCAUUUUUAAAAGCUAAUGUAUGCAAAAAAUUCUUUUAUUUUUCUGGGGAAAAUAGGCAAGAGAAAACGUUUUGGCAAAUGAGUUGCAACUGAAUUCAAAACCAAUACGAUGCGAGCAUAGGAAAGAGGUCAGUGUUUUGGAUUUGAAUUUAGUAUUGAGCUGAAUUUUAUGUUUAACACAUGAUUCUAUUAUAGUACUGCGAUUAAUAAGCUCAGCCCCGGAUUUGCUUUUGCUUUUGCUUUUACUUCAAGUGAAAGAAAGAGGAAACCUUUUGUUUUUUCUUUGGUUUUUGACUAUGUUACCUAUACAGAGAGUCAAGAUAUCAGCCAUAAGUGAUGGUGUUAAAAAGAUUAAGCAGCGCACACAAUCUUACUGCUGUCUAGACCAUCCAAUGAUGACUCCAGUCUUUUGGUUACAUUAGCUUUAGUUGAAAUAAGGGCCAAUUUAGCAAACACUAGCUUUGGCGGCUUACUAUGUUUAAUGUAAUGCUUAUUCUCAAGGAAUCUAAUGUUAUAAGAUGAUUGAAUGAUCUUCUAUGAUUGUGAGUAGUAUAGGAUAAUUGAAAAGAGCCUGGCUCCUAUGAUAAAUAACAGUAACACAGUACUGUGAUUGAAAAAGUUCAGUUACAAAAACUUAGUUACAGUAAACUCUUCAUUUAUUCAUUGCGGAGAUUGAAUGGCAAAAAGAGAAUAGAAUGAAGCAGAGGAAUCUCAUUGCCAAUAAAAUUGACCCUCUUUAAUGUUAUAUGGCACAGGUAUGUUUACAUCAAGAACAAGUUACUUACAGUUUUUAUUGUAGUUAAGUUUUGAUGAUUUCAGAUGCUUUUUUUUUUUAAUUGUGACACCUUUGAUUUAUAAUAAUAUUGCAAAUAUAUAUAUAUAUAUAUAUUAGUAGUUUUUUGGUCCGAAAUUUUAAAGUGUGAGAAAGUAUGAGAAAGCUUUAAAACCGCACGGUGUUAAAGGCUUACAGUUUUAAGCAUUUUAAUCCAUGCGGUUUUAAAGUUUUACUGGAUUUUUCCGCACUUUAAAAUUCCAGACUGAAACAUUUCUGUAUAUAUAUACAUAUAAAUAUAUAAAUUAAGAGGGAUGAGUUAACUGAAGAUUAUAAUCAUUACAACAAUGCUGAUGAGUGAUACAUCACUUGAAAUUUACUUAUCAGUUGCUGAAAUGAUGAAAAAAAAACAAUAAACAAUAACAGUGAUAAUGUUCUCUUGCUAAAAUGACUUGUAUAUUAUACAAUCCACUCUACUUAAUGAUAUCGUUUUAAUAAAUGUUUGAUGAUCUCCAUUUAAAAACUACUUCAAUUUUUUUCUUCAUUUAACUUUUUGGUUGUUGAAAAUAACCUUAAUUAUCAAAUAAUUGGAGAAAGAGUAAAGAACAUUUAACAAAUUUAUGUGUAAAAAAAAAAAGGAGAAGUUGAAGAGAAAGGGUGCUUGCAGAAGUAGGUGUCAAAGAUAAAUCGGUCCAUAGGAAUUAUUUGUUGAGAUAUAAUUAAUAAUCUAGUAAAUUGAGCAAGAAGUUUGAAGGGUUAUUUGGUUUGUUUUUCAACAUGAAGUAAAGGGUAGAAUUGAUGUUUGCAAUGUAGCUUUGGAAAUGUAAAGCAUGAUUAAUGUAAUCUCUAGAGUUGUCUAUAAUGCAUAUAAAUAUAGAACUCUGGUUGUAUGAAAAGUAAGAGAGAAACGAAAAAAUGAAUUAAGCAAUAAAGUUUCAGAAAUUUCCAGCAAAAUACUCUGUUCUUAAAUAAAAAUUUUUCUGCACUUCCGCUUGCACCCAACAAAUUUGGUAUCAGAGCUAUUCCAAAACACCCUCAAAAUGACAUCAAACUUCUCCCUGUUUUGAGCUGGAAUAAGAGCAGAAAGCUGUGGGAAAAGGCACUAUUGCUGUCCAUACAAAGGAAGGUACUGAUUUCCUUAUUGUUUGCCUUUAUGUUGAUGCUGCAACAACAAUUUAUUGUGACAACAUGUCAGCCAUUGCUCUAACAAAGAACCCCGUAUUUCAUGCUAAAUCUAAGCACAUUGAGCUGCGUUAUCACUACAUCCGUGACUUAGUAAACAAAGGAGAAGUUAAUAUGGAGUUUAUCAGCACUAAUGAGCAGCCAUCAGAUUUUCUGACCAAAGCAAUCAACAUUGAGAAGUUUGAAAAAUUCAAGAAGCAAUUGAAGAUUACUAAUUAAGAGGGGGUGUUGAGAUAUAAUUAAUAAUCUAGUAAAUUGAGCAAGAAGUUUGAAGGGUUAUUUGGUUUGUUUUUCAACAUGAAGUAAAGGGUAGAAUUGAUGUUUGCAAUGUAGCUUUGGAAAUGUAAAGCAUGAUUAAUGUAAUCUCUAGAGUUGUCUAUAAUGCAUAUAAAUAUAGAACUCUGGUUGUAUGAAAAGUAAGAGAGAAACGAAAAAAUGAAUUAAGCAAUAAAGUUUCAGAAAUUUCCAGCAAAAUACUCUGUUCUUAAAUAAAAAUUUUUCUGCACUUCCGCUUGCACCCAACAUUAUUUUGGUUAUUUUUUAGCAAUAUAAAAAUUUUUUAGCAAGUAAAAAUUAAUUUUUUUCCAAUUUACUAAAAAAUUAACUAAAAACUUCUGCGAUAGCAUUUUUUAUGGGUGCAUAUACCUCCCUUUAAAAAAUAUAUAAUAAUUAAUGCUUAAUAUAGUAUUAAAUACGAAAAUAUCAAUAUUUGACUACUCAAAUUUAUAUCAUUAGGUCCUUAAAAUUUAAAAUUGAAGAUACAAAAGGAAAUAUAUAUAAAUUUCAUUCUCAUGGGAAAGGAUCAUCUUAUAAUCUUAUAAUAUUUGAGUUUUGAAAUAUUUUUUUGAAACAAAUGUACUUUUAUUUGUGUACAAUCAAUAUGUACUUAUUUAUUAUAUUUUUAUUUAUUAACUAUCAAUCAUGUGAGUAUAUUUAGUCAGAAAAAUUAUAUCAAGAGAGAACCCUAAUUUCACGUAAAGACAAAUACAAGACAAAUAUGGCAAUUUCUAUACUAUUCACUUUCCUGUAGAAUCAAUUAUCUAAAAUGCAAGUUUGUGGCUUCAAAAAACUCGCCAAAGAAAGAAGAUAAUUACAAUUGAGCAUUGAUAGCAAAUCUAAUGCAUCCAAUUCUUCUUAACUUGAUGAGUGACGUGAAUACUAGCAGUCUGUAACGCCCAAAUUUUUAUUAUUUUAUUUAUUUUUUAAUGGAAUUUAUAAAUGACAUUUUUGCCCUUAUAAAAACGGUUAUUCAUGGAAUAAUUUUUAGGAAAGGGUUAUUUUUCCAAAUUCAAUAGGGUUUCUUAAGACUCCCUAUAAAUUCAUAUUUUUCUCCUUCCAUAACCCUAAAAGCACGACGUUUCUUCUUCUUCUAUGCUGCUCAUUACGCUCUUACCCAAACCCUAGGAUUCAAACCUUUGGUUAAGAGAGAAUCAAAGCGAUUGGUAAGUUUAUUCCCCUUAUUCUCCACAAGAUUCCCAAUCACUCUAUCUAGGGUUUAUAUUGGCACGAUUUUAGAUUGUUAUAGAUCAUAAUGCAUGAUUUAGAAUGUGUUUAGGCUUUGUUUAGAGUUUUGAUUUAUUAUGAGUUUAGUUAAUCAACCUUGACGUAUUAAGCACAUAGAAUAGUUCCAUAGAAUAUUAUGUUAUUCUGAGUUUUAGAUUAAGAGUUAAAAUUCUGAGCAUCGGACCUGUACGGGUACGAAUUAAAAAAACCAGGUUCUUAGAAUAAGUUAUUAAUUGUCAUAUAUUGUAUUUGUUUAAGGCGUUGGAGGUGAUUGAGGCUCUUAGAGGGUUAGAGGUGUGUUAAUUCAAAUUCUUUUGUCAAGUUAAGUAACUUUAUUCCUAAUGUACUGGAUAUAUAUAUAUGAUUAUUUUGAUAUUAUUAUAAGUAUACGAAUUUUUUUACUACUUAGAAGAUUAAUGGAUUUUCAUAACAAAAUCAGUUUGUGUAAAUGUUUUCAAACCUAAAUUCUUUUUAAUAAAUUAUUUUGUAAAGGCUUUUAAAUAUGUAAGUUAUUUUAUGACAUGACUACCUUUUAUAAUUUUGUCUAUGAAAUAUUUGCAAGCCUAAAUUGUGGUUAUGGACUUUCAUGAAACUGAUACAAAUGUUUUGUACCUAUGUAUGAUUUCAAUUAUUUAUGAUUGUACGGGGGCCACCUCUUGGGACUAUAUGGGGGCCACCUCUUGAAAGCCAAAGCAUCGCAAAGUGCCACAUAUAAGUCAUUAUGUUUUGGCUCAUUGUCCAUAGUUAUUCUGAUUCUGAUUCUGAUCGUAUAAUACGAUAUAUGUCUGUUCUGGACCAGUACUGGGUUUUUGUUUUGAGUGUGCACACGAUAUUCUGAUUCUGUUUUUGGCCGAGUCACCAGGACUAUAGGUGACACUAUGUGACAUGAGCUAACCUUUUGUUUUAUGUGAAUGUGAUAUAUGAUUUGCUUUUGUAAGUAACUAUACUUUUGAUAUUCUGAGUUACAAUGAAUUUAAAUUAUUUUAUAGUGAUAUAUCGUUUUAUGAAAUUUAUGGAUUAUGAUAUAUGUUUUAAUUAAAAGAAGGCUUGCAAUAUUUUUGGUAUCGAUAGGCCUAGUGUGUUAGGAAUAGUUUUACUUACCGAGUUGACGGCUCACCCCUCGUCAUUACUUUUUGCAGAUUAAAUUUCUUUUGAGAGGUGCCCUUAGCUUUGGAGUUAGUAAUUUUCUGUUUCCGUUUGCCAUUUGAAUAAGAUGAGGAAUAGACUCAUGUUUCUAUUUAGUUUAUUUCUGUUAUGGACGUGUAAUUUGGAGUUUGAGACUUUUGUUAUUUUUUUUAUGUCCUCGGGAGAGAUUAUUUAGUAUUAGACGUUUGAAUUUGUGGAUUUAUUCGAAUAAGAAUUUGAGGUAUUUCAGUUUGAAACUUAUGAGUAAAGAUUAUGAUUUGUAAGUAACCUCCUUCUUCACGUGCUCCGCACGUGUUAGAUUUGGGGUGUUACAAUUGUGGUAUCAGAGCAUUAGGUUUGGGAUUCUGUAGACUUUAUUUGAGACUAGAUUUCUUAAGCACAAUCAAUUAGUUCAAUGGUAUUGCUUGCCAUGAGGUUAUCAGAAAGAGUAGAUCUUUAAGGCGAGGAGUAAUUUUGGUCUUUUUGAUUUUCUAGUUGCUUGUGACUUUGUAAUAACUCCUUGAUAUAGGAUUUUGGUAUUAACGUAGAAUGAAAUAUUUGUUUGCUCUUGUUGUCAAUCACUAAUGUUUCUCAGUUAUACUACUUACUCAGUACUUUGCGCACUAGCAAGGCCUUUAACUAUGAAUUAUUUACCGUUUUAUUUAUUUAUUUAUUUUUAUUCUUCGUGUUAUAGUCAAAAGAUGUUGCGUAGGGGAGGUGCUAGGCAUGCCUCUAGCUCGAGAGAUGUUUUAGGAAUCGCUGAUGACGUUGACCCAACCUUGCGUGAGAUGGCUAACGAAGGGAAUCCUAUGAUGCGCGCAAUGGUUAGAUUGAUGGAACAACAAAGUAAGUUGAUUCAAGAUAUGGCUAGAGGUAAAGUUGGGGCACAGGAGAAUGUGCCAGUUGAAAGACAAGGUGGUGGAAGAGAUCAGGGAGGUAUGAUGAGCUUAGAGCGGUUUAGGAAAUUGGGACCACCUACCUUUCAGGGGACUGCCGAUCCUAUGGUUGCAGAGGCAUGGUUAAGACAGAUGGAGAAAAUAUUUAUGGCUAUGGGUUGUAAUGAUGAUCAUAGGGUGAUAUUGGCCUCAUUCGUCCUUUAGGGCGAGGCAGACCACUGGUGGGAUGCCAAAUCCCGUCUUUUGAGGGCCGGGUUACAAGAUGCACCUAUUACUUGGGAGUUAUUUCUGGAGGCUUUUCAUGAAAAAUAUUUUCCUGAACGAGUUCGACAUCAGAUGGAGGUUGACUUCCUGAAAUUGACUCAAGGAACAAAGUUUGUUGCGGAGUAUGAGGAGCAAUUUACUGCUCUAUCUCAUUUUUCUCCUACCUUAGUUGCUAAUGAGGGUAGUAAGUGUAGGAAAUUCUUGGAAGGGUUACAUCCAAACAUCAAAAGACGGUUGACCAUCCUUAAGCUUAAUAAUUAUGCCGAUUUGGUGGAUCGUGCGAUUAUUGCAGAGAGGGAUAUAAUUCAAUCUCAAGUUGCACGAUCUAAUCGACAUAAUAACCAGCCAAUAAAACAUGAUAGUAAUGGUAGCGAAGGUGAACAUAAGGACUCUAAUGGUGGGUCUAUUCAAGAGAACAAACCAUUCUGUAAUCGUUGUGACAAGUACCAUAAUGGCACGUGCUAUUUAAAGAUAGAAGCUUGUUUUGGCUGUGGAAAGAUGGGGCAUAAGGUUAUAGAUUGCCCAAAAAAGCGCAGUGGUAACAUAGAUUCUGCCGAGAACCAAAGGAAAAAGCCAUGUGUCUUCGCCAUGGUGGAGCAAGAUAUUAAGAAACCGAAUAACGAAGCCUCAGGUGCAUUACCUAUUUUCCAUAGAAAGCCUUGAAUUUUUGAGUAAUUGGUAUUGUGCUUUUCCUCCAUCCUUUCUGAUUGGAUGCAUCGUAGCUAGAGUUUUUAGCCUAAUAAUUUCUUUUUUCAUCCAUUGAAUUUCUAUGGUACAUUAGUAGGAUAUGACGUGUGAUUUUAUAAGGCCAUUAGGAUUAACUUAUGGUUGGAUGGAGUAGGGACUAAUAUGAUAUUUAGUAGGAUAUGUGAUGAAGAUUGCAAUAAAAGUGUUUCACCAGCAAUGUGCGAGCGCAUUGAACAGUUUUGAAGUUGAAUGUGAAGUGAUAAAAAAUAUUCGCCAUCGAAACCUUAUCAAUGUUAUUGGCAGUUGUUCGAACGAUGACUUCAAAUCAUUAGUCCUAGAAUACAUGUCCAACGGGAGCUUGGAGGAUUGGCUGCAUUCUAGCAAUUAUGUGCUUAAUAUUUUUCGCAGGUUGAACAUAAUGAUUGACGUUGCAUCAGCUUUAAAAUAUCUCCACUUCGAUCAUUCAACUCGUAUCAUUCAUUGUGACUUAAAGCCUAAUAAUGUGUUGUUGGGUGAAAAUAUGGUUGCUCAUUUGAGUGAUUUUGGCAUAGCAAAGCUUUUAAGUGGAAGAUGAGUCUACGAUGCGAACAAAAACCCUUGCCACUAUAGGUUAUACGGCACCAGGUUUGCUUGAAACAACUUUUUUUUUUAGUUUAUUUUAAAAUUUCCAAAUUAUUGAUUUUUACGAUCCUCAUAUCAAAAUGUUAUUGAUUAUUUAUCUAAUUAUGAAAUAAUUUAAUUCAUAGAGUAUGGCAUAGAAGGAGAAAUAUCUGCAAAAAGUGAUGUUUACAGCUAUGGGAUUAUGUUGAUGGAAACUUUUACCAAGAAAAAACCCACAGAUGAGAUUUUUGUUGGAGAAUUGAGCUUAAAGCGUUGGGUUAAUGACUUGCUUCCUAAUUCAUUAGUGGAAGUUGUGGACAAAAUUCUGAUAAUUGGAGAGGAAAAACAUUUUGCCGCAAAGGAGCAAUGUCUGUUCUCUAUCUUUAUUUUGGCUCUGGAGUGUACAAUGGAAUCACCGGAAAAGAGGAUCAAUACAAAAGAUAUUGUUACCAGAUUACUCAAGAUAAGAGACACAUUGAGUAAAAGGAUAGGAAAUUUAAGUUAAUUUUGUUUGCUUUCAUUGAUAGUUACUUUGAAUUCAUGUAAUAAGUGUAAGAAUCGUUUAUCUUUUCUUUUGAUAUUUUUUUCUUGAGAAAACUGUUGUAGUCAUCUUUUUUCAAUGGGCAGAGUUGAUUUAGUUCUUCCAAGAAAUGCUAUUGUUGAUCUUUGUUAUAUACUUUUGUCUUUUUUUGCAUGCAUUUAGGUAGAAUAGUGGUCUAGCUGCAGGCUAACAAGUCAAGCUACGCUAAAAGGGUAUGAUUUAAUUUAUUAAACCUAACUUCAAGUUCAAGAAUUGUAUCUCAUUGCCACCAAUGCUUUAGACACCUAUUGGUAGGUUUGUGUCCUCAACUUUGUUUAGAGCAAAAGUUCCAGUCCCAUGGAGGCUCAAAUAUUCCUCUCCUACGUCCCGAACACACUAAAUUCAUCAGCCUCUUGAACCCUCUCCUGAGGGCGCCUUCUGUCCUCUGUUUUCUGUUUCCAUACACAAAUAGCAAAAAGAAUUCAGAAUGACAACUGGGACAUAUAUAAGAGUGAAAUAAUUAAAAAAAAUUAUGCUUUUUUGUUUGUCGUGUUAAAAUCGUAAGGUAUCUAAGUACUAUGAAAGAGAUUAGUUUACGAAAACUGAAGCCAAGGGUUCAUAAAAAAGUGCAAAGAGAAUAAAGGACAACGCUUAUGUAAAGCGACAUAAUUGUAUUGGUAGCACAAUGUCACGUUCAUACAGAGAUCAAGUACAUUAUUUACAGCUGGUAAGGGCUAAGAAUUGAUGUAGCUAGAAUACAAAUAUGAUAAGGUAUGUUGUGCACUAUUGUUUUAUUCUACAAUCAAUCUUGACCCUUGAUGCUUGGCUCUCAAUCUUGUCCAUUGAUCUUCUCUGAUCUCGAAAACUUCAAGACCUUUCAAUCUCAUGCCUUAUUAUUGGUAUGUUCUAUGCUGUUAAUUUCAAAUACUAGCUUUUCCGCCAACUUGCCAAUUAUUUGUUCAUUGGUGCGUUCUGUCAAACAGUGUGGAUACUUAUACCAAACGCUUUCUGUUUUAACUCCCCCUUUCAAGCUCAACUAUCUGGGAAGACACUAAUAAGCUUGUUUCUCAAGUAUAUGUAUCUGAAAAUUAAAUUUUCAAAAUUAUAUUCGGACUCUACAUUUUCUAAUGAACAUUGGUUUGGCUCAUAAGCUUAUUAUACUUGGGCUUGGUAGGAUUAUCGGUCGGUAGAUGAACAAGUGUUAGAGCUUUCGAAUUUAUGCCAAUUAAAAAAAAAUCUAUAUAAAUUUUCCACUAGGCUAUUACCACAAUAAACAUUUGGAUGAACUAUUAUUGAAACCUUAUUGAGAAGUAGGACAUGUCGCAUACCAAUGCACUGACAUAUCUUCAAAUAGUGGUAACUCCACACAACAUGGCACAAUAAAUUAGAGUUAUAUAGAUAAAAUCUUUCACUCUUUGGUAAUCAUCAAUGUCGGCAUGGCAAUGCGUCCGACAAAAUUCAUAAAUCAAAACAAAAAUAGAGAAUCAUAUUUGUUUCAGAUUGUAGUGAUGGUUGUUCAUAAUUCACAAUUUUAUUUAAUAUCUUCAAAUUCGCAUUUUAAAAUGCACAAAUGUUUGUGUAUACAUAAUUAGUAAUCGAUUCUCAAGCUUGGACAUUUAAAAGCACUGCUAAAAGACAAAAUUUUAAUUCACUAUUUUUUGUCUUUUAAUUUUCUUUAAGUUUUAAUGAUUCCGCAUUUUAAAAUCCUGUGGAACGUACAUGUAAAAUUCUUUUAUCUUUUAGAGGAAAAUGGGCAAGAGAAGAAGAUUUGGCAAAGGAAUUGCAACCGCAUUUGGAGCUAGUUUUAAUUUUGUCUUUUAAUUCUUUUACACUUGGCUUUUGUUAUUGAUGUCAACUUCGAUGUGUGUGCGUGUGCGACUGAAUUCAACUUACAUGCUAUUGAUGCAGCCACCAAAAAGGGGUGGUCCAUCAUCAAUCAACAAGGUUUAUUAUUAUUUCCAUAUUGAUUUUCUUAAUUAUAAAUAAUACUAAUGUUAUUUCAUAGUUAUAAAUAUAUUAGAAUUAAUCGAAAUCAUUUUUUAGUGUGGCAUGGCUAAAACUACCUUUUUUUUUUAUAAGUAAUUACUACUUUCACAUUAAGAAAAAUACUCCUAUUUUUAAGGAAAAGUCAAGUACCUGUAGUUGUGAAGACUCAAGCUCACUCCCUUAUGAUAAAUCUUCAUAUUAAUUACGUAAAUAUCCUCUAAAAUUUUAAAUUAGCUAUUCAAAAUUUGAUGUUAUACGGGUAUUUCAUUUAUUUGAGUAGGGGUUAGGGGUCAAUUGGAUACAAAUUCAAAAUUAUCCUUACUUGAGAAGGUGAUAAAAAUUGGGGAUUUAGUUUGGAUGUCAUUAGCUACAAAUAUUAAACUCAUACAUUUAAUUCAAAAUUAGAGGGCUGAUAUGUGCGCAUCAUCGUCCACGUUAUAGUGACACUGCGUCACCAUUCCACAACCUCUCCAAUGAAAAAUUGACAUGCUUCUUGUGCGCAUCUAAUCAGAAUCUUGAAAAUUAAUCACAAAAUUGUACUUUUAUUAUAAAAAGAAUAAAGAAACUCCAAGAAAAAAAAAAAGACUUACAUAAAUAGAUUGAAAAAUCUAGAUUUCAAGUUGUCUAUAUUAGCUUGAUAUUUUUAUUAAUAGUCAUCCUCCCAAAAAAAUUCCAUCAAAAUAUAUUUUAAUUUUAUGUUAAUUCAUAAACAUGAAAAAAUCAUUUUAGAAUUAAUUAAAACAUAAUUUAUUGUUGCUCAAAAAAGGUAGAACUUAGUUAUCAGAAAAAAGUGUCUAAAAUAUAUGUUAAAAAAAAAUCAUGGUUGGUUGGACUGAUUGAAUUUUUUUUUUCUUUUUUAAGAAUUAAGACAAUUGGAUGGAUUGAGUAAUAAUAAUACAUAUUUAUUUGGCAAAUGGCAGGGAGGCUUUCGUCUGAUGCAGAUUGAUUAGAGAGAAAAUAUAACAAUUUUAAGCUCGUCAGAUUCGAAGCUGCUUACCUGUCGUGUGGGGAUCACUUCCGUGUCUUAUUUUUCUAGAAAAAUCUGGACCAUUGGAUUUACCAUUAGUCAAUAGAGAAAUGUUGAUCUUGAUUCUUGAUCAAGAUCGAAGUUUGAUUCUAACUAACACGAUAUCAGAUUGCGAAGCAAGCAAAUUGAAAGUCACUUGUUCUAUGGAAGAAACACAAGUUCUAAUAAAACAUUCUCAUAGUAAAGUGAAUUACCAUCCAACGAUCCAACUCAUGUUUUCAAAUUGUAAAUUGCAAAUCGUGUGUUUGCUCCAUUACAGAGUUUCUUCAAUCUGAAAUAGCGAAUCAUUUGUGUUCUAGAUUAAUCGUGGGUCUAUAUCCAAAUCUAAAAAUUGACUAACUUGAUUUCUAUUAAAUUCUUAAUCCUAACAAGAAAAAUUGAAGAUUAAAAACGACUAAUUUGGUACCAUACCACUAUUGUAACAUAGGUAGAUCCUCUAUUAAUUGGAGUAAAGAUUGAAUUAUCUCAUUUAUUAAGGUUUAUCAAAAUCUUGUGUCAAAAUCUAUUAAUGAUAUAGGUUCAAGGAUGAAAAAGUCACUGCAUUACUUUUGAGUUCCCAAAUAGAUGAAUGGAUGUUAUUUUUAGAUUCCGGAGAGUCGAAAAUAUUAAGAUAGGUGCUAAAUCGAAUUAAGUUGUAGAUACGAUAGAAAUGGAUUUGGAGAGAUUGGAAUCCUAGGUAAUCCGGUGCACGUUGUCGUGUUAAAUUCUCGUUGACUUCACGUUGACUGAAGCAUUAUUGGAAGAAACAAGUUUAUUGAUGUGAGGCCUUUGAGGUUGUAAGUGUUAAAUCUGAGAAGAAUACCCACACACCCAUUAUCCUAUUACUCUUAUAUCACAUGAAGAGAAUUCAACAUUUGAUUCACACGGAAAAAAUUUGUGAGGAAUGUGAGGGUUGAUGGAAUAUAAUUUAGAUACAAAGUGUUUACCAGUGCGAUGCUUCGCAAGUGUUCUUGAAUCAAUAUAAACUCACAUUAUUUUCAUAGUGAUUGUUUCAUCUGCACGUUAAUAUAAUCACAUGUCGAGAUUUUUUUCCUUAAAUUAUGGUCUUAUUUAGUAUUGAGGUGUUAUAUCUUUUAAGGUACAAUUAUUGUUGGAAAAAAGUUACAACUAUCAAAUAAAAUUAAUACUAUGUGCUAAAUAUAAUUGUUAAAUAAUAAUUUUGACAAAAUUAGUGAAGUUAUAUAGAUUUUUUUCAUCAUCCAAGUAUAAAAUCAAAUCAACUUAACUUCUAAGUUAUAUAUCGGCUACUGUUUAUCAUAUGUUUUAGUUUUGUAACUUUUAAAUUAUAGUUACCCAACCUCAAUUCUAAACAAGACCUAUAAAGAUCAAAGAUUUCCUCAUUAAAUUAUAUGUCUUGUGAUUGCUUAUUUAAUUUAUAUUUUUGUUAUUUAUCUUUAUUAAUUAUAAUCAUCUUUUUAUAAAUUAAAAUUGAAGGAAGUUGAUUGAUGUUGUUGACACACACACGCACGCGCACGCACACACUCACAAAGAUAUAUUGGAAGUGCUUACGUCGACUCGAAGUUGUUGGGAAUUAAUGCAUGUAUUGAUUUAUUGGGAGUGUUUAAAUGAUUUUGUGAUUUACUUGAUUUAUUGAUUGAAUAUUGUUUGAUUGCUUCAUAUCCAUUCUAGAAAGUUUAUUUCUUUGUGAAAGUUCAACGAAAUAUGUUUUUUUUUUUAAAUAAGGGUGUUCUAAAUAAUUUUAAAAAAUAUAUGCUUGUCUUCCCAAAAUAGCCUUUGAAUACACAAGUAAAUGUCUAGCCUUUGGUGAGGAUAGUUUGGUCAUUGCAUUUUACAAGUAAGAUGAGUGGUGGAGAAAAAUGAGGAGUGCACAUAACUCUUCAGCAAAUCCCACCAACAAUUCCAUUUUCUUAAUUAAUUAAUCUCCUUUUUUAUCCCCAAACAAAUCCUAAUGAUACUAUUAUCAGGUUUAAAACAGUACACAAAUAGUGAAAAGCUAACUAGUCUGUAGAGUAAUUUGCUAAUUGCUAUCUCCUCUCUAUGCUCGCUGAAUAAUUUGUUGCAUGCAAACUUUUUAUUUUAUGCAAAUCAUACGUACUGUAACAUUGGAAUUGAUGUAUAAGCAAAAAUACAAUAAUAUUUAUGUCAAUACAAAUAGUUUUUUUUCCCUUUUUAAAUAAACACAACGCGAUGUUGCUCUGCUCUACAUUUUUGCUAUCUCUUUAUUAUUAUUAUUUUUUUUUGGGCUUCUUAAAGCCUCAAACUUUGAUAACCAAAACUUCAUCGACCUAUGAAAAAAUCUGCAGAUUAGUUUUUAUUAUCGGAAUAAUUGUUUGAGAAUACUAAAACAAAAUAUAAAAUAAGAAAAUACGGGGUUAAAUUUGGGGAAAACAAAAAGGCAUGUUGGAUAGAUUACUAUAGUUUAAGGGGAAAAAAAAAUUCAAUUGGAAAUUUUUUUCUUUAAUUUUUGUUUUACUUGAUUGAGAUUUCUCCUUAGUCCUUACAGUUUUAAGUUUGGAUGCCGUAGGGUUAGUAAUUUAGUAUUUCCCUUGCAAGCUGAGCUUAAGGAUGAAAUUUCUUUUAAGAAAUUAAAAAAGAUUAAAAAAAGCAUACCAAUAGGUAAUUAUAAAUAACCAUAAAUAAACAUAAACAAAAUGUUUAUGAAGUAAAUUACACAUGCACAUAUUAUUUUUUUGUUAUAUUUCUUACUUGUCUAUUUUAUUUGCUGCUUGAUAACCCGUAAAUACUAAUCUAGUACUGCUAAUUUCAGACACAAAAUGUUUAACUCUAGGCUGCAGUUUUACUCAAAAUGAUGACCACUGGCUUCGCACCAUUUAACCGGCAUACAUUUCUACAAAUUGAACAAGGCUAUUGAUUUUCAUUAUUAUUUUUUAUUUAUUUAUAAAUUACUAUUUUAAUUUUCACUUUUUAUUGGGUUGUUUACAGAUUAGUGAAGUUGGUGGUCGUGAUGCACUCACAAGGUACAAUUUUAUUUUAUAAUUUCAAAUUUGUAUUUUAAAAUGCAGGUACAUUAUGUAUACAUAAUUAUUGAUUUUCAUAUGUGGGUGUUUUGAAAUAUUGCUAAAAGACCAAACUUUAAUAAACUAUUUUUUAUCUUUUUUUUUCCUAAAGUUUGAGUGAUAUCCGCAUUUUAAAUUCAUGUGGAACAAAAGCUAAUGUAUGCUCAAAAUUCUUUUAUUUUUUCCGAGAAGAAUGGGUAAGAGAAGAAGAUUUUUCUGUUGAAAAAGAAAAACUAAUACGAUGCAAGCAUAGGAAAGAGGUCAGUGUUUUGGAUUAGAAUUUAGUAUUGAGCUGAAUUUUAUACUAAACUCUUUUAUAGUACUGCGAUUAAUAAACUCAUGAUUUGCUUUUGCUUUUACUUCAAGUGAAAGAAAGAGGAAACCGUUUGAUUUUUGUUUGAUUCUUGACUAUAGAUGUUACCUAUAUAGAGAGUUGAGGUAGCUGCCUUAAGUGAUGGUUAUAAAAAGAUUAAGCAGCGCACACAAUCUUACUGUCGUCCAGACCAUCCAGCUAUGAUGACUCUAGUUUUUUGGUUACAUUAACUUUAGUGGAAAGGAGGGCCAAUUUAACAAAGACUAGAUUUGGUGGCUUACUAUAAUGCUUAUUCUCAGGGAAUCUAAUGUUAUAAGAUGAUUUAAUGAUCUUCUAUGAUUGUGAGUAGUAUAGUAUAAUUGAAAAGAGCUUGGGCUCCUAUGAUGAAUAUUUAAUAGUAACACAGUACUGUUAUUGAAAAAAACACAGUUACAAUAAACUCUUCAUUUAUUCAUUGUGGAGAUUGAAUGGCAAACAGAGAAUAAAAUGAAGCAGAGGAAUCUCAUUGCCAGUAAAAUUGACCCUCUUUAAUGUUAUAUGGCACAGGUGUGUGUACAGCAAGAUCAAGUUACUUGCAGUUUUUAUUGUAAAAUAUAUAGGUUAUGACCAUGAUCAUUGUAGUUAGGUUUUGAUGAUUUUAGAUGCUUUUUUUAUUUUUUUUAAAAUUGUGACACCUUUGAUUUAUGGUAGCUUUGCAGAAGAAAAAUAUAUAUAUAUAAAUUAGGAGGGAUGAGUUAACUAACGAUUGCAAUCAUUACAGUAAUGUUGAUGAGUGAUACAUCAUUUGAAAUUUACUUGUCAGUUACUGAAAUGAUGAAAAAAAACAAUAAACAAUAGCAGUAAUAUUUUUAUGGAAAAUCUUGGUUUUUAUGGAAAUACUCUUGCUGAAAUUCUAAUUUUGACUUUCAACUCUUGGUUUUUAUGGAAAGUAAAAUGACUUGUUUGUUAUAUUCAUACAAUCCACUCUACAUAAUGAUUUCAUUUUAAUAAAUGCUUGAUGAUCUCCACUGAAAAACUACUUCAAUUCUUUUGUUUUAUUUAACUUUUUGGUUGUUGAAAAUAGCCUUAAUUUUCAAAUAAUUGGAGAAAGAGUAAAGAACAUUUAACAAAUUUAUGUGCCAAAAAUAAAGGAGAAAUUGAAGAGAAAGGGUGCUUGCAGAAGUGGGUGCAAAGAUAAAUCAGUCCAUAAGAAUUAUUGUGGUUAUUAAGUUUUUGGCAAUAUAAAAAUUUUUCAGCAAAUAAAAAUUGAUUUUUUCCGAUUUACUAAAAAAUUAAUUAAAAACUUCGGUGAUAGCAUUUUUUAUGGGUGCAUGUACCCUCCCUUUAAAAAAAAUAUAAUAAUUAAUACUUAAUAUAGUAUUAAAUACGAAAAUAUCAAUAUUUGACUACACAAAUUUAUAUCAUUAGGUCCUUAAAAUUUAAAAUUGAAGACACAAAAUGAAAUAUAUAUAAAUUUCAUUCUCACAGGAAAGGAUCCUCUUAUAAUCUUAAAAUAUUUGAGCUUUGAAAGAUUUUUUAAAACAAAUGUACUUUUAUUUUUGUACAAUCAAUAUUUACUUAUUUAUUAUAUUUUUAUUCAUUAACUAUCAAUCAUGUGAGUAUAUUUACUCAGAAAUAUCAUAUCAAGGAAGAAUCUUGAUCCCACGCACACACAAAUAUGUUAAUUUCUAUACGCUUCACUUACCUGUAGAAUCAAUUAUCUAAAAUGCAAGUUUGUGGCCACAAAAAAAGCCAAAGAAAGAAGAUAAUAACAAUUGACUUGUAUAUUAUACUCAUACAAUCCACUCGACAUAAUGAUAUCAUUUUAAUAAGGCAAUGGCUGAUGAUCUCCAUUGAAAAACCAAUUCAAUUUUUUUGCUUCAUUUAACUUUUUGGUUGUUGAAAAUAACCUUAAUUAUCAAAUAAUUGGAGAAAGAGUAAAGAACAUUUAACAAAUUUAUGUGCAAAAAAAAAAAAAAAAAAAGGAGAAGUUGAAGGGAAAGGGUGCUUGCAGAAGUGGGUGUCAAAGAAAAAUCUGUCCAUAAGAAUUAUUGCGGUUAUUUUUUGGCAAUAUAAAAUUUUUAUAGCAAGUAAAAAUUAAUUUUUUCCAAUUUACUAAAAAAUUAACUAAAAACUUCUGCGACAACAUUUUUUAUGGGUGCAUAUACCCGCCCUUUAAAAAAAAAAAUAAUUAAUGCUUAAGUUAGUAUUAAAUACGAAAAUAUCAAUAUUUGACUACUCAAAUUUAUAUCAUUAGGUCCUUAAAAUUUAAAAUUGAAGAUACUAAAGGAAAUAUAUAUAAAUUUCAUUCUCAUGGAAAGGAUUCUCUUAUAAUCUUAUAAUAUUUGAGUUUUGAAAUUUUUUUGAAACAAAUGUAAUUUUAUUUGUGUACAAUCAAUAUUUACUUAUUUAUUAUAUUUUAAUUUAUUAACUAUCAAUCAUGUAAGUAUAUUUAGUCAGAAAAAUUAUAUCGAGAGAGAAUCCUAAUUUCACGCAAACACAAAUACAAGACAAAUAUGUUAAUUUCUAUACUAUUCACUUUCCUGUAGAAUCAAUUAUCUAAAAUGCAAGUUUGUGGCUAUAGAAAACUCGCCAAAGAAAGAAGAUAAUAACAAUUGAGCAUUGAUAGCAAAACUAAUGCAUCAUUUUCUUCUUGACUUGAUGAGAUGGUGCCAUUACAAAACAAUAAUUACCUUAAUUGACGGGCACUGAGUGAUGUGAAUACUACCAGCCAGUUCAUCUCUUCCAGUCUUGCUUAAUCACAAUCACAAACACCACGAGAUUGACAUUUGCAUUAUAUAUAUCUUCAGCAAUCGAAACACCUUGCAUUACCAAAUUAACCGGUAACAAACAAAGCAACCUUUCAUGGAGAGAAACUUUAGUCUCAGUAUGAUCACUGUGUCAUUAACCCACUUCCUGCUUCUUUGCUUGGUUGUUGCAGCAGCAGCAGCAGCAGCAAGCAACAAUAUUACCACAGACCAACAAGCUCUUCUUGCCCUGAAAGAUCAUAUAACUUAUGAUCCAACCAAACUUUUUGCCCAUAAUUGGACCUCGAAUACCUCUGUUUGCACCUGGAUUGGCCUCAGUUGUGAUGUCAAUAGCCAUAGAGUCACAGCCUUAGAUAUUUCUCAAUUCAAUAUACAAGGCACCAUCCCUCCUCAACUUGGAAACCUCUCUUCACUCACAACACUUAAUCUUAGUCGUAAUAAGCUUUCUGGAAGCAUUCCCCCCUCCAUCUACACCAUGCAUACGCUAAAAUUUCUAGACUUCACUGAUAACCUGCUCUCUGGUUCAGUGUCUUCCUCCGUCUUCAACAUGUCUUCAAUAUUAGACAUUCGUUUGACCAAUAACAGACUUUCUGGUGAGCUUCCGAAAAAUAUUUGCAACUAUCUUCCUUACUUGAAAGCCCUUUUUCUGGACAAAAACAAGUUGCAUGGCAAAAUUCCUUCAGCUUUAUCAAAUUGCAAACAACUGCAACAAUUGCAUUUGCAGUUCAAUAAUUUAUCCGGUGCAAUACCGAAAGAAAUCGGCAACUUGACUAUGCUCAAAUGGAUAGAUCUCGGCUACAACAAACUCCACGGUAUGUUUCAUAAUGCUAUCUAAAUAUUUUAAUUUAUCACUUGUUUAUUUUAAUUUCUCACUUGUUAUUUUUCUUGAAUACUUUAGAUAAGAUCUAGUAAGUGAGAUUUUUUGCAUCUAUGUUAAUUUACCAGGUGAGAUACCCCCCGAAAUCGCUAAUCUUCGAAAUCUAGAGGCUUUGGUGCUUGGAAUGAACAACCUAGUGGGUGUGUUACCAGCUACAAUCUUCAACAUGUCAACACUGAAGGUAGUUAUCCUCAUUAAUAACUCUCUCUUCGGAAGUCUCCCAUCAAGAAUAGACCUUUCACUUCCAACUAUUGAGCACCUUAACUUGGCACUUAAUAGAUUUUCUGGAACCAUUCCUAGUUCCAUCACCAAUGCUUCUAAGCUCACCUUUCUAGAGUUGGGAGGAAACACAUUUUCGGGCUUUAUUCCGAACACAAUUGGUAAUUUAAGAAACCUUGAGUGGCUCAGCUUGGGUAAUAACUACUUGACAUCUUCAACCUCAAAAUUGAGCUUUCUUUCCUCUUUGGCAAAUUGCAAGAAAUUAAGAGACAUAGGCUUAACAGGCAAUCCACUCGACGGUAUCCUUCCAAGUUCAAUAGGUAAUCUUUCCAUGUCUUUGAAAACACUUUACAUCGGCAAUUGCAGUAUUAGUGGCAACAUUCCUCAAUCAAUUGGCAAUUUAAGCAACUUAUUGGCCUUAGUAUUAGAAGGCAAUAAAUUGACCGGACCAAUCCCAACUACAUUCGGCCAACUGCAGAAACUCCAAGGCUUAUUUCUUACAUUCAAUAAGUUGGUAGGUUCAUUCCCAGAUGAGCUUUUCCAUCUAGCUAGGCUGGAUAAAUUGGUAUUAUUGGGAAAUAAGCUUUCAGGAUCUAUGCCUUCAUGCUUAAGUAACCUCACUUCUCUGAGAUCUCUCUACUUAGGGUCCAAUAGGUUUACUUCUGUUAUUCCCUCAACUUUCUGGAGCCUAAAAGACAUCUUGUUCUUUGACUUUUCAUCAAAUUUCUUGGUUGGUACUCUUUCUUUCGACAUAGGUAAUUUGAAGGUGCUUCUAGGAAUAAGUUUAUCAGAAAAUAACUUAUCGGGUGAUAUGCCAGCCACAAUUGGAGGGAUAAAAAAACCUUCAAAUUAUGGACCUAGCAUAUAAUAGAUUGGAAGGGCAAAUUCCUGAAUCAUUUGGUGACUUGACAAGUUUGGAGGUUUUGAAUUUGUCAAAUAAUAAAAUCUCUGGGUCUAUUCCAAAAUCCAUGGAGAAACUCUUUUACCUCCGAGAGUUAAAUCUCUCUUUCAAUGAACUAGAAGGUGAGAUUCCUAGUGGAGGAAUUUUUGCCAACUUCACAGCUGAGUCAUUUAUGGGAAAUGAGUUAUUGUGUGGUUUACCAAAUCUUCAAGUCCAACCAUGCAAAGUUAGCAAGCCGAGGACAGAACAUAAAUCAAGGAAAAAGAUACUUCUCAUUGUGAUUGUUUUGCCAUUGAGUAUUGCUCUAACAAUAGCAAUCACUCUACCUCUCAAAUCUAAGCUGAUCGAAUGUGGAAAAAGAAGCACAGUGUUGUCAAAUGAUAGUGUCUUGUCAUCACAAGCAACACUAAGAAGAUUUUCAUACUUAGAACUUUUACAAGCAACAGAUAAUUUUGCUGAAAACAACGUAAUUGGCAUAGGAGGUUUUGGUUCUGUUUACGGUGGAAGACUUGAAGAUGGGAUGAAGAUUGCAAUAAAAGUGUUUCACCAGCAAUGUGCAAGCGCAUUGAAGAGUUUUGAGGCUGAAUGUGAAGUGUUAAAAAAUAUUCGCCAUCGAAACCUUAUUAAAGUUAUCAGCAGUUAUUCAAACAAUGACUUCAAAGCAUUAGUUCUAGAAUACAUGUCCAACGGGAGCUUAGGGGACUGGCUGCAUUCUAGCAAUUAUGUGCUGAAUAUAUUUCAGAGGUUGAACAUAAUGAUUGAUGUUGCAUCAGCUUUAGAACAUCUCCACUUCGAUCAUUCGACUCCUAUUAUUCAUUGUGACUUAAAGCCUAGUAAUGUAUUGUUGGACGGAAAUAUGGUUGCUCAUUUGAGUGAUUUUGGCAUAGCAAAGCUUUUAAGUGGAGAGGAUGAGUCUAUGAUGCGAACAAAAACCCUUGCCACUAUAGGUUAUAUGGCACCAGGUUUGCUUCAAACAACUUUUUUUUUUUAGUUCAUUUUAAAUUUUGCAACUUAUUGAUUUUUACGAUCCUCACAUCAAAAUGUUAUUGAUUAUUUAUCUAAUUUUGAAAUUAAUUUGAUUCAUAGAGUACGGCAUAGAAGGAGAAGUAUCUACAAAAAGUGAUGUUUACAGCUAUGGGAUUAUGUUGAUGGAAACUUUUACCAAGAAAAAACCCACAGAUGAAAUUUUUGUUGGAGAAUUGAGCUUGAAGCGUUGGGUUAAUGACUUGCUUCCUACUUCAUUAGUGGAAGUUGUGGACAAAACUCUGCUAAGUGGAGAGGAAAAACAUUCUGCAGCAAAGGAGCAAUGUCUGUUGUCUAUCUUUAGUUUGGCUCUGGAGUGUACAAUGGAAUCACCGGAAAAGAGGAUUAAUGCAAAAGAUAUUGUUACAAGAUUACUCAAGAUAAGAGACACAUUGAGUAAAAGGAUAGGAAAUUUAAGUUAAUUUCGUUUGCUUUCAUUGAUAGUUAAUUCGAAUUCAUGUAAUAAGUCUAAGAAUCUUAUAUCUUCAAAUUCGCAUUUUAAAAUGCACAAAUGUUUGUGUAUACAUAAUUAGUAAUCGAUUCUCAAGCUUUGGACAUUUAAAAGCACUGCUAAAAGACAAAAUUUUAAUUCACUAUUUUUUUGUCUUUUAAUUUUCUUUAAGUUUUAAUGAUUCCGCAUUUUAAAAUCCUGUGGAACGUGCAUGUAAAAUUCUUUUAUCUUUUAGAGGAAAAUGGGCAAGAGAAGAAGAUUUGGCAAAGGAAUUGCAACCGCAUUUGGAGCUAGUUUUAAUUUUGUCUUUUAAUUCUUUUACACUUGGCUUUUGUUAUUGAUGUUAACUUCGAUGUGUGUGCGUGUGCGACUGAAUUCAACUUACAUGCUAUUGAUGCAGCCACCAAAAAGGGGUGGUCCAUCAUCAAUCAACAAGGUUUAUUAUUAUUAAUUUCCAUAUUGAUUUUCUUAAUUAUAAAUAAUACUAAUGCUAUUUCAUAGUUAUAAAUAUAUUAGAAUUAAUCGAAAUCAUUUUUUAGUGUGGCAUGGCUAAAACUACCUUUUUUUUAUUAUAAGUAAUUACUACUUUCACAUUAAGAAAAAUACUCCUAUUUUUAAGGAAAAGUCAAGUACCUGUAGUUGUGAAGACUCGAGCUCACUCCCUUAUGAUAAAUCUUCAUAUUAAUUACGUAAAUAUCCUCUAAAAUUUUAAAUUAGCUAUUCAAAAUUUGAUGUUAUACGGGUAUUUCAUUUAUUUGAGUAGGGGUUAGGGGUCAAUUGGAUACAAAUUCAAAAUUAUCCUUACUUGAGAAGGUGAUAAAAAUUGGGGAUUUAGUUUGGAUGUCAUUAGCUACAAAUAUUAAACUCAUACAUUUAAUUCAAAAUUAGAGGGCUGAUAUAUGCGCAUCAUCGUCCACGUUAUAGUGACACUGCGUCACCAUUCCACAACCUCUCCAAUGAAAAAUUGACAUGCUUCUUGUGCGCAUCUAAUCAGAAUCUUGAAAAUUAAUCACAAAAUUGUACUUUUAUUAUAAAAAGAAUAAAGAAACUCCAAGAAAAAAAAAAGACUUACAUAAAUAGAUUGAAAAAUCUAGAUUUCAAGUUGUCUAUAUUAGCUUGAUAUUUUUAUUAAUAGUCAUCCUCCCAAAAAAAUUCCAUCAAAAUAUAUUUUAAUUUUAUGUUAAUUCAUAAACUUGAAAAAAUCAUUUUAGAAUUAAUUAAAACAUAAUUUAUUGUUGCUCAAAAAAGGUAGAACUUAGUUAUCAGAAAAAAGUGUCUAAAAUAUAUGUUAAAAAAAAAUCAUGGUUGGUUGGACUGAUUGAAUUUUUUUUUCUUUUUUAAGAAUUAAGACAAUUGGAUGGAUUGAGUAAUAAUAAUACAUAUUUAUUUGGCAAAUGGCAGGGAGGCUUUCGUCUGAUGCAGAUUGAUUAGAGAGAAAAUAUAACAAUUUUAAGCUCGUCAGAUUCGAAGCUGCUUACCUGUCGUGUGGGGAUCACUUCCGUGUCUUAUUUUUCUAGAAAAAUCUGGACCAUUGGAUUUACCAUUAGUCAAUAGAGAAAUGUUGAUCUUGAUUCUUGAUCAAGAUCGAAGUUUGAUUCUAACUAACACGAUAUCAGAUUGCGAAGCAAGCAAAUUGAAAGUCACUUGUUCUAUGGAAGAAACACAAGUUCUAAUAAAACAUUCUCAUAGUAAAGUGAAUUACCAUCCAACGAUCCAACUCAUGUUUUCAAAUUGUAAAUUGCAAAUCGUGUGUUUGCUCCAUUACAGAGUUUCUUCAAUCUGAAAUAGCGAAUCAUUUGUGUUCUAGAUUAAUCGUGGGUCUAUAUCCAAAUCUAAAAAUUGACUAACUUGAUUUCUAUUAAAUUCUUAAUCCUAACAAGAAAAAUUGAAGAUUAAAAACGACUAAUUUGGUACCAUACCACUAUUGUAACAUAGGUAGAUCCUCUAUUAAUUGGAGUAAAGAUUGAAUUAUCUCAUUUAUUAAGGUUUAUCAAAAUCUUGUGUCAAAAUCUAUUAAUGAUAUAGGUUCAAGGAUGAAAAAGUCACUGCAUUACUUUUGAGUUCCCAAAUAGAUGAAUGGAUGUUAUUUUUAGAUUCCGGAGAGUCGAAAAUAUUAAGAUAGGUGCUAAAUCGAAUUAAGUUGUAGAUACGAUAGAAAUGGAUUUGGAGAGAUUGGAAUCCUAGGUAAUCCGGUGCACGUUGUCGUGUUAAAUUCUCGUUGACUUCACGUUGACUGAAGCAUUAUUGGAAGAAACAAGUUUAUUGAUGUGAGGCCUUUGAGGUUGUAAGUGUUAAAUAUGAGAAGAAUACCCACACACCCAUUAUCCUAUUACUCUUAUAUCACAUGAAGAGAAUUCAACAUUUGAUUCACACGGAAAAAAUUUGUGAGGAUUGUGAGGGUUGAUGGAAUAUAAUUUAGAUACAAAGUGUUUUACCAGUGCGAUGCUUCGCAAGUGUUCUUGAAUCAAUAUAAACUCACGUUAUUUUCAUAGUGAUUGUUUCAUGUGCACGUGGAUAUAAUCACAUGUCGAGAUUUUUUUCCUUAAAUUAUGGUCUUAUUUAGUAUUAAGGUGUUAUAUCUUUUAAGGUACAAUUAUUGUUGGAAAAAAGUUGCAUCUAUCAAAUAAAAUUAGUACUAUGUGCUAAAUAUAAUUGUUAAAUAAUAAUUUUGACAAAAUUAGUGAAGUUAUAUAGAUUUUUUUUCAUCAUACAAGCAUAAAAUCAAAUCAACUUAACUUCUAAGUUAUAUAUCGGCUACUUAGGGAUGGCAAUGGAUUGGAUCUGACCCAAGAUCCACGUGAUCCAAAUCUAAUCGGAUCGGAUUUGGGUCAGUUUAAAAUGAAUUUGGAUCGGAUUUGGAUAUUGAUGUGCGGAUCUAAGACGGAUCUGGAGCAGGUCUGGAUCUAUCUUAGUAUCUAAAUCCAUAUCCAUAUCCACCCAUCUUUUAAUUUAAUUUUAUUUUAAAAGUUUCUUAACAAUUGUGGAAUUAUAAUGAUAAUGAAUUUUAUUCAUAGCAUAUUAGUGGUAUUUACCAUGCAUUUAAACUCUUUAAAAUUAAAGGUUAGUUUUGUAAAUUUAAAGACUAGCCAGGCCCAAAGCAUGUACAUGCAAUAUUCAAAUUGCAAGCCAAGUAAUACAACCUGGCAAUUUAUUUUAUUAUAUUGGCCAAAUAAUUUUUAAGGAAUAUAGGUAUUCAUAUAUUUUGUCAAAUAUGGUCAUAAUAAAAAUAAUAAAGGACUGAAUAUAAAUCAUAUUUUAUUUAUAUGUCAUUAUCUAAUAUUAUAAGAAUGAGGGUGGGUGUGUUGUAGAUAUUAGAAUGAUGAAUGAGACAAUAGAAUAUUAGAUUGAUCUUACUCCUGCAAUUACUUUUAAAGGAUAUUUUAUUAUCUUAUUUGUUGUUUUGGUGUAAAAGUAUAAGUUACAAUAUUUAUUAUAUUUUUGAGAAAAAUUAUAUAAUUUAUUUGUUAUCAAUACAUUUUAACCUUCAAUUUUCAUUCUAAAAAAUUAUUACUUUUUAAUUGAUGAGUUUUAGAAUUCAUGACAGAUCUAGAGCAGAUUUGGAUUUUAAUUUUUUUUUUCAGAUUUGGAGCAGAUAUAAAUAUUUAUUUCUUUUAUGGAUAUGGAUAUGGAGCGAAAAAUAUAGAUUCAUGAUGGAUCUGGAGCAGAUACGGAUCUUGAUUUUUAUUAUGGAUUUGGAUCUGGAGCAGAGUAGAUCCAACCCAUAUCUGCCCCAUUGCCAUCCCUACGGCUACUGUUAAUCAUAUGUUUUAGUUCUGUAACUUUUAAGUUAUAGUUACCCAAUCUCAAUUCUAAACCAGACCUAUAAAGAUCAAAGAUUUCCUCAUUAAAUUAUAUGUCUUGUGAUUGCUUAUUUAAUUUAUAUUUUUUUUUAUUUAUCUUUAUUAAUUAUAAUCAUCUUUUUAUAAAUUAAAAUUGAAGGAAGUUGAUUGAUGUUGUUGACACACGCACACACGCACACACUCACAAAGAUAUAUUGGAAGUGCUUACGUCGACUCGAAGUUGUUGGGAAUUAAUGCAUGUAUUGAUUUAUUGGGAGUGUUUAAAUGAUUUUUUGAUUUACUUGAUUUAUUGAUUGAAUAUUGUUUGAUUGCUUCAUAUCCAUUCUAGAAAGUUUAUUUCUUUGUGAAAUUUCAACGAAAUAUGUUUUUUUUUUUAAAUAAGGGUGUUCUAAAUAAUUUAAAAAUAUAUAUGGACUAAUUAGAAUUAAUUAUUAGGUAAUUAACUCAAUCUGUAUAGGGUGAAACAACAUUUAUCCUAAUUAUAUCAUGAUAAAUACUUUUCCUAUUAGAAUUAGGAAAUCAUAGGUUUAUUGAAUUGUUUUUUUUUUUCCUUUGCGGAAACGGAUUAGAGAAUUAGAAAACAAUCAUGUUGAUGUCAAAAUCUGAUCUAGUCGGUUAGCGACUUAAUAUCAUAUUACUGCACCAACAUUAAAUUUAUUGGGUGGAGAAUCGACUGGUCAAUUGUCAAGAUGUCCUGCAAUCACUAGCGAUUAACCUACGAAUACCUAAAAUCACAGAAGACGGUAAGAGGCACCGGAAGUUUUUUCGGCGUGAACCUUCCGACGCUCAAGUCAGUUUAUAGGUUUACCAUAAUAAAAAUAAAUAAUUUCUAUUUAAAAAAAAAUAGAGUUCAAAAGCUCAAAAAUAAAACCCAAUCCCAAUAUGAAAAUGAAUUUUUUUUUUUUUUUUUCUAGCUUGGCCGAAUCCUUCUGCCUCCUAAAGAAACAUAACAGAGAAGCAGGUAGCCAUGUUCCCUAGGUAACGCCCCACUCCCCUCUUUUAUUCCUCCCCCUCUCUUCCGUUUCCUUCUUUUGCUCACUAUCCUUCAUAAUUUUUUAUGCUUGUCUUCCCAAAAUAGCCUUUUAAUACACAAGUAAAUGUCUAGGCUUUGGUGAGGAUAGUUUGGUCAUUGCAUUUUACAAGUAAGAUGAGUGGUGGAGAAAAAUGAGGAGUGCACAUAUAACGCUUCAGCAAAUCCCACCAGCAAUUCCAUUUUCUUAAUUAAUUAAUCUCUUCAGCAAAUCCCACCAACUCUUCAGCAAAUCCUAAUGAUAUUAUUAUCAGGUUUAAAACAGUACACAAAUAGUGAAAAGCUAACUAGUCUGUAGAGUAAUUUGCUAAUUGCUAUCUCCUCUCUCCGCGCGCUGAAUAAUUUGUUGCAUGCAAACUUUUUAUUUUAUGCAAAUCGUACGUACUGUAACAUUGGAAUUGAUGUAAAAGCAAAAAUACAAGAAUAUUUAUGUCAAUAAAAAUAGUUUUUUUGGCCUUUUUAAAUAAACACAACGCGAUAUUGCUCUGCUCUACAUUUUUGCUAUCUCUUUAUUCUUCUUUUUUUUUUUGGGCUUCUUAAAGCCUCAAACUUUGAUAACCAAAACUUCAUCGACCUAUGAAAAAAUCUGCAGAUUAGUUUUUAUUAUCGGAAUAAUCAUUUGAGAAUACUAAAACAAAAUAUAAAUAAGAAAAUAGGAGGUUAAAUUAGAGGGGGGAAAAAAGGUAUGUUGGAUAGAUUACUAUAGUUUAAGAAAAAAAAAUCCAAUUGGGAAUUUUUUUCUUUAAUUUUUGUUUUACUUGAUUGAGAUUUCUCCUUGGUCCUUACAGUUUUAAGUUUGGAUGCCGUAGGGUUAGUAAUUUAGUACUUCCUUUGCAAGCUGAGUGCAAGAAUGAAAAUCUUUAAAGAAAUAAAAAAAAAAAAAAAAAGCAUACCAAUAGGUAAUUAUAAAUAACCAUACAUAAACAUAAACAAAAUGAGGUAAUUAUUAAUAUUAUUUUUUGUUUUAUUUCUUACUUGUCUAUUUUAUUUGCUGCUUGAUAACCCGUAAAUACUAAUCUAGUACUGCUAAUUUCAGACACAAAAUUUUUAACUCUAGGCUGCAGUUUUACUCAAAAUGAUGACCACUGGCUUCGCACCAUUUAACCGGCAUACAUUUCUACAAAUUGAACAAGGCUAUUGAUUUUCAUUAUUAUUUUUUAUUUUUUUAUAAAUUACUAUUUUAAUUUUCACUUUUCAUUGGGUUGUUUAACGGAUUAGUGAAGUUGGUGGUCGUGAUGCACUCACAAGGUACAAUUUUAUUUUAUAAUUUCAAAUUUGUAUUUUAAAAUGCAGGUACAUUAUGUAUACAUAAUUAUUGAUUUUCGUAUGUGGGUGUUUUGAAAUAUUGCUAAAAGACCAAACUUUAAUAAACUAUUUUUCAUCUUUUUUUUUUCCUAAAGUUUAAGUGAUAUCCGCAUUUUAAAUUCAUGUGGAACAAAAGCUAAUGUAUGCACAAAAUCCUUUUAUUUUUUCCGAGAAAAAUGGUUAAGAGAAGAAGAUUUUUCUCUUGAAAAAGAAAAACUAAUACGAUGCAAGCAUAGGAAAGAGGUCAGUGUUUUGGAUUAGAAUUUAGUAUUGAGCUGAAUUUUAUACUAAACUCUUUUAUAGUACUGCGAUUAAUAAACUCAUGAUUUGCUUUUGCUUUUACCUCAAGUGAAAGAAAGAGGAAACCUUUUGUUUUUUGUUUGAUUCUUGACUAUAGGUGUUACCUAUAUAGAGAGUUGAGGUAGCUGCCUUAAGUGAUGGUGAUAAAAAGAUUAAGCAGCGCACACAAUCUUACUGUCGUCCAGACCAUCCAGCUGUGAUGACUCUUGUUUUUUGGUUACAUUAGCUUUAGUGGAACGGAGGGCCAAUUUAACAAAGACUAGAUUUGGUGGCUUACUAUAAUGCUUAUUCUCAGGGAAUCUAAUGUUAUAAGAUGAUUUAAUGAUCUUCUAUGAUUGUGAGUAGUAUAGUAUAAUUGAAAAGAGCUUGGGCUCCUAUGAUGAAUAUUUAAUAGUAACACAGUACUGUUAUUGAAAAAAACACAGUUACAAUAAACUCUUCAUUUAUUCAUUGUGGAGAUUGAAUGGCAAACAGAGAAUAAAAUGAAGCAGAGGAAUCUCAUUGCCAGUAAAAUUGACCCUCUUUAAUGUUAUAUGGCACAGGUGUGUGUACAGCAAGAUCAAGUUACUUGCAGUUUUUAUUGUAAAAUAUAUAGGUUAUGACCAUGAUCAUUGUAGUUAGGUUUUGAUGAUUUUAGAUGCUUUUUUUAUUUUUUUUAAAAUUGUGACACCUUUGAUUUAUGGUAGUUUUGCAGAAGAAAAAAAUAUAUAUAAAAAUUAGGAGGGAUGAGUUAACUAACGAUUGCAAUCAUUACAGUAAUGUUGAUGAGUGAUACAUCAUUUGAAAUUUACUUGUCAGUUGCUGAAAUGAUGAAAAAAAACAGUAAACAAUAGCAGUAAUAUUUUUUGGCAAUAUAAAAAAUUAUUGCGGUUAUUUUUUGGCAAUAUAAAAAAAUUUUAGCAAAUAAAAAUUAAUUUUUUUCCGAUUAACUAAAAAAUUAAUUAAAAACUUCUGCGAUGGCAUUUUUUAUGGGUGCAUAUACCCUCCCUUUAAAAGAAAAAAUAAUAAUUAAUACUUAAUAUAGUAUUAAAUACGAAAAUAUCAAUAUUUGACUACACAAAUUUAAUAGUCUUGUGUAAUUAGUGAGUGAGAGAUUGGGUGUAUUGGAGUUUUGGGUAGUGAGCCAAAAUAUUACAAUACUUGUAAUCUUUAUUUCACUAGUGAAAUAUUUUCCUUCUGUUUUUGCCCGUGGACGUAGGCUAAAAGCCGAACCACGUAAUUUCUGGUGUCCUCUAUUGUACUUGUUCUUUAUUUGCUUCCAAUUUUAUUUUAACUGCGCGUCUGCUUCACCCAUCAAUUUCCUAACAAAUCUUGAUCCCAUGCACACGCAAAUAUGUUAAUUUCUAUACGCUUCACUUACCUGUAGAAUCAAUUAUCUAAAAUGCAAGUUUGUGGCCACAAAAAAAGCCAAAGAAAGAAGAUAAUAACAAUUGACUUGUAUAUUAUACUCAUACAAUCCACUCGACAUAAUGAUAUCAUUUUAAUAAGGCAAUGGCUGAUGAUCUCCAUUGAAAAACUAAUUCAAUUUUUUUGCUUCAUUUAACUUUUUGGUUGUUGAAAAUAACCUUAAUUAUCAAAUAAUUGGAGAAAGAGUAAAGAACAUUUAACAAAUUUAUGUGCAAAAAAAAAAAAAAAGAAGUUGAAGAGAAAGGGUGCUUGCAGAAGUGGGUGUCAAAGAAACAUCGGUCCAUAAGAAUUAUUGCGGUUAUUUUUUGGCAAUAUAAAAUAUUUAUAGCAAGUAAAAAUUAAAUUUUUUCCGAUUUACUAAAAAAUUAACUAAAAACUUCUGCCACAACAUUUUUUAUGGGUACAUAUACCCUCCCUUUAAAAAAAAAAUAAUAAUUAAUGCUUAAUAUAGUAUUAAAUACCAAAAUAUCAAUAUUUGGCUACUCAAAUUUAUAUCAUUAGGUCCUUAAAAUUAAAAAUUGAUGAUACAAAAGGAAAUAUAUAUAAAUUUCAUUCUCAUGGAAAGGAUUCUCUUAUAAUCUUAUAAUAUUUGAGUUUUGAAAUUUUUUGAAGCAAAUGUAAUUUUAUUUGUGUACAAUCAAUAUUUACUUAUUUAUUAUAUUUUAAUUUGUUAACUAUCAAUCAUUUAAGUAUAUUUAGUCAGAAAAAUUAUAUCAAGAGAGAAUCCUAAUUUCACGCAAACACAAAUACAAGAUAAAUAUGUCAAUUUCUAUACUAUCCACUUUCCUGUAGAAUCAAUUAUCUAAAAUGCAAGUUUGUGGCUACCGAAAACUCGCCAAAGAAAGAAGAUAAUAACAAUUGAGCAUUGAUAGCAAAACUAAUGCAUCAUUUUCUUCUUGACUUGAUGAGAUGGUGCCAUUACAAAAAAAAAAGUACCUUAAUUGACGGGCACUGAGUGAUGUGAAUACUACCAGCCAGUUCAUCUCUUCCAGUCUUGCUUAAUCACAAUCACAAACACCACGAGAUUGACAUUUGCAUUAUAUAUAUCUUCAGCAAUCGAAACACCUUGCAUUACCAAAUUAACCGGUAACAAACAAAGCAAUCUUUCAUGGAGAGAAACUUUAGUCUCAGUAUGAUCACUUUGUCAUUAACCCACUACCUGCUUCUUUGCUUGGUUGUUGCAGCAGCAGCAGCCGCAAGCAACAAUAUUACCACAGACCAACAAGCUCUUCUUGCCCUGAAAGAUCAUAUAACUUAUGAUCCAACCAACCUUUUUGCCCAUAAUUGGACCUCGAAUACCUCUGUUUGUACCUGGAUUGGCAUCACUUGUGAUGUCAAUAGCCAUAGAGUCACAGCCUUAGAUAUUUCUCAAUUCAAUCUACAAGGCACCAUCCCUCCUCAACUUGGAAACCUUUCUUCACUUACAACGCUUAAUCUUAGUCAUAACAAGCUUUCUGGAGACGUUCCAUCCUCCAUCUACACCAUGCAUUCGCUAAAAUUUCUUGACUUCACUGAUAACCAGCUCUCUGGUUCAGUGUCUUCCUUCGUCUUCAACAUGUCUUCAAUAUUAGAAAUUCUUUUGACCAAUAACAGAUUUUCUGGUGAGCUUCCGAAAAAUAUUUGCAACUAUCUUCCUUAUUUGAAAGCCCUUUUCUUAAACAAAAACAUGUUUCAUGGCAAAAUUCCUUCUGCUUUAUCAAAGUGCAAACAACUGCAAAAAUUAAAUUUGCAGUUCAAUAAUUUAUCCGGUGCAAUACCGAAAGAAAUCGGCAACUUGACUAUGCUCAAAGGCAUAUAUCUCGAAUACAACAAACUCCACGGUAUGUUCAUAAUACUAUGUAAAUGUUUUAAUUUCUCAAUUGUUAUUUUCUUGAAUACUUUAGACAAGAUCUUGUAAGGGAGAUAUUUUUGGAUCUGUGUUAAUUUGCCAGGUGAGAUACCCCACGAAAUCGCUAAUCUUCGAAAUCUAGAGGAUUUAUUGCUUGGAAUGAACAACCUAGUUGGUGUGUUACCAGCUCCAAUCUUCAACAUGUCAACACUGAAAUUAUUUGACCUCAUAAAUAACUCUCUCUCCGGAAGUCUUCCAUCAAGAAUAGACCUUUCACUUCCAACUGUUGAGUUUUUUGGCUUGGCACUUAAUAGAUUUUCUGGAACCAUUCCUAGUUCCAUCACCAAUGCUUCUAAGCUCACCGUUCUAGCGUUGGGAGAGAACACAUUUUCGGGCUUCAUUCCAAACACAAUUGGUAAUUUAAGAAACCUUGAGUGGCUCAGCUUGGAGAAUAAUUACUUGAAAUCUUCAACCUCAAAAUUGAGCUUUCUUUCCUCUUUGGCAAAUUGCAAGAAAUUAAGAUUCUUAAACUUAGCAGGCAAUCCACUUGACGGCUUCCUUCCAAGUUCAAUAGGUAAUCUUUCUGUGUCUUUGGAAACACUUUUCAUCGGCAAUUGCAGUAUUAGUGGCAACAUUCCUCAAGCAAUUAGCAAUUUAAGCAACUUGUUGACCUUAGUAUUAGAAGGCAAUAAAUUGACUGGACCAAUUCCAAUUACAUUUGGCCGACUACAGAAACUCCAAGGCUUAGAUCUUGCAUUCAAUAAGUUGGUAGGUUCAUUCCCAGAUGAGCUUUGCCAUCUAGCAAGGCUGGAUCAAUUGGUCUUAUUUGGCAAUAAGCUUUCAGGAUCUAUACCUUCAUGCCUAAGUAAUCUCACUUCUCUAAGAUCUCUCUACUUAGGGUCCAAUAGGUUAACUUCUGUUAUUCCCUCAACUUUCUGGAGCCUAAAAUACAUCUUGUUCUUUGACUUUUCAUCAAAUUUCUUGGUUGGUACUCUUUCUUUCGACAUAGGUAAUUUGAAGGUGCUUCUAGGAAUAAAUUUAUCAGAAAAUAACUUAUCGGGUGAUAUGCCAGCCACAAUUGGAGGACUGAAAGAUCUUCAAUUUAUGGACCUAGCAUUUAAUAGAUUGGAAGGCCCAAUUCCUGAAUCAUUUGGUGACUUGACAAGUUUGGAGGUUUUGAAUUUGUCAAAAAAUAAAAUCUCUGGGUCUAUUCCAACAUCCAUGGAGAAACUCAUUUACCUUCGAGAGUUAAAUCUCUCUUUCAAUAAACUUGAAGGUGAGAUUCCUAGUGGAGGAAUUUUUACCAACUUCACAGCUGAGUCAUUUAUGGGAAAUGAGUUAUUGUGUGGUUUACCAAAUCUUCAAGUCCAACCAUGCAAACUUAGCAAGCCUAGGACAGAACAUAAAUCAAGGAAAAAGAUACUUCUCAUUGUGAUUGUUUUGCCAUUGAGUAUUGCUCUAACGAUAGCAAUCACUCUAGCUCUCAAAUCUAAGCUGAUCGAAUGUAGAAAAAGAGGCACAGAGUUAUCAAAUGAUAGUAUCUUGUCAUCAGAAGCAACACUAAGAAGAUUUUUAUACUUAGAACUUUUACAAGCAACAGAUAAUUUUGCUGAAAACAACAUAAUUGGCAGAGGAGGUUUUGGUUCCGUUUAUGGAGCAAGACUUGAAGAUGGGAUGAAGAUUGCAAUAAAAGUGUUUCACCAGCAAUGUGCAAGCGCAUUGAAGAGUUUUGAGGCUGAAUGUGAAGUGUUAAAAAAUAUUCACCAUCGAAACCUUAUCAAAGUUAUCAGCAGUUGCUCGAACGAUGACUUCAAAGCAUUAGUCCUAGAAUACAUGUCCAACGGGAGCUUGGAGGAUUGGCUGCAUUCUAGCAAUUAUGUGCUGAAUAUAUUUCAGAGGUUGAACAUAAUGAUUGACGUUGCAUCAGCUUUAGAAUAUCUCCACUUCGAUCAUUCAACUGCUAUUAUUCAUUGUGACUUAAAGCCUAGUAAUGUAUUGUUGGACGAAAAUAUGGUUGCUCAUUUGAGUGAUUUUGGCAUAGCAAAGCUUUUAAGUGGAGAGGAUGAGUCUACGAUACGAACAAAAACCCUUGCCACUCUAGGUUAUAUGGCACCAGGUUUGCUUCAAACAACUUUCGUUUUUAGUUCAUUUUAAAUUUUCCAACUUAUUGAUUUUUACAAUCCUCACAUCAAAAUGUUAUUGAUUAUUUAUCUAAUUGUGAAAUUAAUUUGAUUCAUAGAGUAUGGCAUAGGAGGAGAAGUAUCUACAAAAAGUGAUGUUUAUAGCUAUGGGAUUAUGUUGAUGGAAACUUUUACCAAGAAAAAACCCACAGAUGAAAUUUUUGUUGGAGAAUUGAGCUUAAAGCGUUGGGUUAAUGACUUGCUUCCUAAUUCAUUAGUGGAAGUUGUGGACAAAACUCUGCUAAGUGGAGAGGAAAAACAUUCUGCAGCAAAGGAGCAAUGUCUGUUGUCUAUCUUUAGUUUGGCUCUGGAGUGUACAAUGGAAUCACCGGAAAAGAGGAUUAAUGCAAAAGAUAUUGUUACCGGAUUACUCAAGAUAAGAGACACAUUGAGUAAAAGGAUAGGAAAUUUAAGUUAAUUUCGUUUGCUUUCAUUGAUAGUUAAUUCGAAUUCAUGUAAUAAGUGUAAGAACCUUAUAUCUUUUACUUUGAUUUUUUUUUUCUUGAGAAAACUGUUGUAGUCAUCUUGUUUCCAUGGGCGGAGUUGAUUUAGUUCUUCCAAGAAAUGCUACUGAUGACAUUUGUUUUAUACUUUCUCUUUUUUUUUGCAUGUGUUUAGGUAGAAUAGUGGUUUGGUUGCACUCUAAGAAGUCUAACUACACUAAAAGAAUAUGAUUUAAUUUAUUAAACAAAACUUCAAGUUCAAGAAAAGUAUCUCAUUGCCCCCAAUGCUUUGGACACCUAUUGGUAGGUUUGUACGUGUCCUCAACUUUUUUUUGGAGCACAAAAUUCGAGUCCCAUAAAGGCUCAAACAUUCCUUUCCUUCAUCCCGAGGGCGCCUUCUGUCCUCUGUUUUCUGUUUCCACACACAAAUAGCAAAAAGAAAUUAGAAUGACAACUGGGACAUAUAUAAGAGUGAAAUAAUUAAAAAAAUUAUGCUUUUUUGUCUGUCGUGUUAAAAUCGUAAGUACCGAAGUACUGUGAAAGAGAUUAAUUUACAGAAACUGAAGCCAAGGGUUCAAAAAAAACUAUUGAUGUAGGUAGAAUGCAAUGUCAUAUUCAUACAGAGAUGAAGUAUAUUAUUUACGGCUGGUAAGGACUAAGAAUUGAUGUAGCUAGAAUGCAAAGAUGAUGAGGUAUGUUGUACACUAUUGUUUUUAUUCUACAAUCAAUCUUGACCCCUGAUGCUUGGCUCUCAAUCUUGUCCAUUGAUCUUCUCUGAUUUUGGAGACUUGAAGACCUUUCAGUAUCAUGCCUUGUUGUUGGUGUCUUCCGUGCUGUAGAAUUCAUAUACAAGUUUUCCCGCCGACUUGCCAAGUAUUUGUUCAUUGAUGCAUUUUAUCAAACAGUUGGCCUGCUCAGAGCAAACAGCUCCUGUUUUAACUCCCCCUCCGUAGCUCAACUAUCUGGGAAGACAAUUAAUUGAGCUUGUUUCACAAUUAUAUGAAUCUGAAAGUUCAAUUAUAUCCUCUAAUGGAGAGAACUCAUUGCCUCAGUAUGAUCACUGUGUCAUCAACCCACUCCCCGCUUCUUUGCUUGGUUGUUGCAGCAAGCAACAAUUUUACCACAGAUCAACAAUAGUUUGUCCAUUUGUUCCAGUGAGGUCGUCAUUAAAAAUUAAUUUUCAUAUUGAUUUUCUUAAUUAUAAAUAAUACUAAUGAUAUUUCAUAGUUAUAAAUAUAUUAGAAUUAAUCGAAAUCAUUUUUUAGUGCGGCAUGGCUAAAACUACCUUUUUUUUUUUUAAGUAAUUACUACUUCAAGGAAAAUACUCCUAUUUUCAAGGAAAAGUCAAGUACCCGUAGUUGUGAAGACUCGAGCUCACCCUCUUAUGAUAAAUCUUCUUAUCAAUUACAUAAAUAUCCUCUAAAUUUUUAGUUAACUAUUCAAAAUUCGAUGUUAUACGGGUAUUUCAUUUAUUUGAGUAGGGGUUCGGGGUCAAUUGGAUACAAAUUCAAAAUUAUCCUUACUUGAGAAGGUGAUAAAAAUUGGGGAUUUAGUUUGGAUGCAUUAGCUACAAAUAUUAAACUCAUACAUCUAAUUCAAAAUUAGAGGGCUGAUAUAUGUGCAUCCUCGUGCACAUUAUAGUGACACGUGUCACCAUCCUACAACCUAUCCAAUGAAAAAUUGACAUGCAUCUUGUGCGCUUCUGAUCAAAAUCCUGAAAAUUAAUCACAAAGUUAUACUUUUAUUAUAAAAAGAAUAAAGAAACUCCAAAAAAAAAAAAAGACUUACAUAUAUAAAUAGUUUGAAUAAUCUAGAUUCCAAGUUGUCUAUAUUAGCUUGAUCUUUUUAUAAAUAGUCAUCUUCGAAAAAAAAUUCCACCAACAUAUAUUUUAAUUUUAUGUUAAUUAAUAAAUAGAAAAAAAUCAUUUUAGAAUUAAUUAAAACAUUAUUUAUUGUUGCCAAAAAAAGGAAGAAUUUAGUGAUAAGAAAAAAGUGUCUCAAAUAUACGUUAAAAAAAUUAAUCAUGGUGGGUUCGAUUGAUUGAAUUUUUUUUUUUAAUCUUUUUCUUUUUUAAGAAUUAAGACAAUUGGAUUGAUUGAGUAAUAAUAAAAUAUAUUUAUUUGGCAAAUGGCAGGUAGGCUUUCUUCUGAUGCAGAUUGAUUAUAGAGAAUAUACAACAAUUUUAAGCUCGUCAGAUUCGGAACCUGCUUAUCUGUCGUGUGGGGAUCACUUCCGUGUCUUAUUUUUCUAGAAAAAUCUGGACCAUUAGGCAGUAGAGAAAUGUUGAUCUUGAUUCCUGAUCAGGAUCGAAGUUUGAUUCUAUCUAACAUGAUAUCAGAUUGCGAAGCAGGCUAGUAUGUAAAUUUCUUUUAUCUUUUAGAGGAAAAUGGGCAAGAGAAGAAGAUUUGGCAAAGGAAUUGCAACCGCAUUUCUAGUAUGUUCUGAUCAGAGAAGCGAAAUCCAUCACGGUCUUUUAUCUUUACCCAUGUGGAGAAAUCAAGGGAUUUCGAAUCAGAGAAGCGAUGGGAUUUAGUUCUGAUCUGGGAUUUUGGAGACUUAGGGAGUGUGCGGUCUUGGACCAACAUUGAUGACGAUGACGCUUCAAAUUCAAUGACUUGAAAGCAGAAAACAAAGACAGACAAAAACAGACAUGCACUACAGCAAGAAAGAUUGACUGAAUCUUGGGUUACUGUGUCUGUGGUCUCAAAUGAAACACAAGUGGGAAGCCUUGCUGCAGUUUCAGCUUUGGUUUGUGUUUGAAGUUUUGAAUGUAAAAAGAGAACCGAGCAUGUGGUUGCCGACAAGAAUGGCCUGAGGUUUCUUAAGCUUCAUUGUAAUGUUACAACUGCUACUAAUUUGGUGGGGUGGGAGGUCGCUGGGUCGCUGUCAGUCCAUUUGCUUCUUUUCUUUCUUUUUGUUAUUUGUUGAGUUUUUUCCAUUUCUACUUUUCUUAAUAUAUAAAUUAUCAUUUUUUUAACAUGCAAAAUAUAUAGAACAUUUUAUGAGUUUAUAAAUAAAAAUU